GCCCUGUACCUAUUCGAGAUUGAGUCGGACCGUCGAGAGGUGAGUCGGGUGAGGAGCGGGGUAGCUCUUUGCCUAGGACUUUCGAGAUUGGGUCGGACCUUCGAGAUAUGAGUCGGGCAAGGAGCGGGGUAGCUCUUUGUCUAGGACCUUUGAGUUAUGAGUUAGGCGGGAAAAGAGCGGGGUAGCUCUUCACCUCCUGGAUUUGAGAUCUUAGGCAAGUUGGCCUAGUUGAUUGGGUAGUAAUAUGAAUUGCAUAAGUAGAUUGCAUUCAUACCAUGAUUUGACAUAGUAGAUCGCAUAACUAUGUUGUACUUGUACUCAUUACAUUGUUAAAGCAUGCUAGCAUGAUAGUAGGUUAUUGCUAGAUGAUGUUCCAUGCAUUCCUUGCAUUUGAUAGCAUAGUAGAUAUAGUAGCAGUUAUUUCUAUCUAUCUUUCUAUCUAUCUAUCUGUGCCAGCUUGGACCUAGUGGGAAGAUCGGCGGAGUCGGCGGCCGAACCCACUGGGAACUAUAUUUAUAUAGUUCUCACCCCGUGUGGUUUUGGGGUACAGGUACACACGAGAGCGAACCGGCAAGGGCUUAGCGCCCUAGUGCUAGUUGGUAGAUGCUUUCCUAUUGCAUUAGUUGUCACCCUAUAUACUUGAGAGUAGAUGAUGUAUAGGUGUGAGGCUAUUUUAAUGUAAACUUUAAGUUUAUGUUGUAUUCGGCAGAAUGUAAAGUUAAUCAAAUGUAUAAAGUUAAAUGGAUGUAAUAGCUUAGUAUCUCUCUUUUAUUCACUUGUUUAUUACUUGUGAUGCUUGCUUUUGAUUAUUUAGCACUGGUUGUGCUCUCGUCGCUGUUGUUGCAUGAUUGUGUAUGUAAUCAAGUUGUUUUUCUGGAAACUUGUUGUACACAAUCUCGUUUGAGCCUUGGGCGGACAGGGGAGGUGCUGUCCGUUCGGCGGUCCGCCCGCCGCGCCCGAACCGUGCCAAAUCGGUAGCGGCCUCGGGGCUGGGGCAUGACAAUAGUUCAUAGUUGCUCAUUACUGUUAAUGCUUUCAGUUUUACAUAUCUAUCUAUCUGCAUAUCUAUCUGUGCCUGCUUAGACCUAGUGGGGAGAUCGGCGGAGUCGGCGGCCGAAUCCAUUGGGAACUAUUCGUAGUUCUCACUCCACCAUGUUGCAGGUCCGAGUUCGAGUGCCGUUGGUGAGGAUCGCGGCAAGGGCAUAGCGCCCCAGUGAUUUAGCAGAGGUUACUUCCUUAUGCAUUAGUUACACCCUGUAUCUAUUUUGAGAGUAGAGGAUGUAUAGGGUGAGGUUUUGAGAGAAUUAUAUAUACAUUGAAUAGGUUUGGAAGAAUGCAAAUUGUAAUAAUUGUAUUAAAUGAAUGGAUGUAAUACAAUAGUUAAGUACUUCUCUCUUUUGUUCACUUGUAUGGUUUCAUUACUUGUGAUGCUUGCUCUCGUAUGAUGUAGUACUGAUUGUUCUCAUGUUGUAAUUACAUGAUUGUGUAUGUAUUCAAGUUAUUUUCCUGGGAACUUGUUGUACACAAUCUAGUCAUUUGAGCCUUGGGCGGGCAGGGGAGGUGCUGUGUCACGCCCCAAUCCCCGCCUAUUUGGUCGGGUUCGGGUCACGUCAACAGACGCCGAACGGACAGAGCCUCCCCUGUCCGCCCAAGGUUCUAACAACACGUAUAAAUAGGCAAUCAGCAAGAGAAUUGCAUAUAUAUAAUACAAGGCUUGCGCGAGGGCAAGCAACAACGGAAGCGAAAGCUCUAAGCUAAAUAUAGAUUACACAUGAUAUUUGAUUUCAUUUAAACCAAAUUCAAGUAAACAAAGCUAAUGUAAAACUAUUACAUUCCAUUCAACCAUCAUAUCUUUUUACAUUUAGUCAUCCACCAAAUACAUGAUUGUUUUCACUUUACAUACCUAAAUCAACAAAAUAAAGUUGAUACAUGUAUAACAAAAGGGAAUGACUACAAAAUGCAUAAAGUCCCCGGUGGCCGCUACCUACGGCGCCAAACCCUUGCCUCGGUCCUCCGCCGCCCCGCUCGUGCUAGGACCUGUAGGGUUAGUGGUGUGAGAACUACAACGAAGUUCCCAGUGGGCUCGGCAUCCGACCUCGCCGACUUACCCACUAGGUCCAUCCAGGCAUAAGUAUUUCAAAGGAGGAAAAGUAACCACUACUAAUGCAACUAAUACUAUGCCUGCAAGAAAGAAGUCAGUAGAUAUAUAAUUUCAAUGCGAUAAUGGAAAUGCAUGCAUGCUCCAAUCAUAAUCAAACUUUGGCUCUUACCCAAUCUUACCGGUUAACUCUGUUAACCCCAAUAACUCACAACCCAAAAUCCCUUAAUAACGGGGGACUCGAACCUCCCUAGGGACCGUCAACUGGUGGGACUUUACCACGCCCAGUGGUGACCAACUCCGGAGCGCACCGCUCGAGGGGGAGCGACCUCCCUCAAGCCAAGACGAAAUGUGAGUAUCGAUCUAAUCCUCAACUUGAGGACUCAUAGCCACUAGUCACAAUGCCAAUGUCACGAUAGGUCUCUACCUAUUCAUUCUUGCCACUCUCAAGGCUUUACCUUUGACGAUGUCAAAAUGGGUUAAACUAUAUUUAACGGUUCAUCUCUCAAUGCAAAUCUUGUUUCUAUGUCAAUGUCACCCUUGUUUUCUAUUGUCCAAGUCCAUUCUCACAUUCACACAACUUGAGGGUCCAAUCACACAUGUCCAUUUUGGUUCUAUCAUUCUCUAUGUUCAACUACGUUAGAAGCAUAUAAAUGAAGUCAAACCAAGUUCCACAUGUAACUACCCUACUAUGCAUGAAUGGGUAUAUAUAAAACAUAUAUGCUCAAGAAUAGAGAAAACAGACAUAGAAGGGAAUCCAACGAUUCCGGCGUGCACCCCCCACCUCUAUUGGUUGUGUGGGUGUAGAUUAUGAAGGCUCCCGCACUUUACGAAAGCCGAUUCCGCGCCCUAUAAUCAAAAUAGUGCCAUAUUAGGCCUUUUUGUACAUGAACUAUACUCUAACAUUUUCGAAAUGUUAAACGAAGUUGUCCAACGUGUUUAGGGCACCCCCAAUUAGGUUUCUACGGGGUCAAUUUGUCCCCGAAAAAUCCUAGGGCAAAAACCCCAAAUCCAAGCCCUAAUAUUGUCAUUUAGGGUUUUCCCAUGAAUCGAUCCCAAUCCUAAGCAAACGAUAGCUUAGAAUCAUCUAAGAAGCACUCUAGUAAGGUUUCUAGACCUUUGGUACCAACCCUAGGGCUCCAAACACCACUUCCAAGGAUUCACCAUGAGAGCACCUUGAGCUCUCAUGGGUACCAUGGUAUUCAUGGCUCAAAAGAGCCCCUAAAGCCUCUAAGGAGCACAAAGCUCCAAAUCCCUAAGCCAAAAUCCAAACCCUAGAGGAAAACUUACAAAACUUACCUCUAGUCCAAGCUCCACCAAGAACCUUCUUGUUGGAGAGCUCCUAGAACCUCCAAAGCACCAAAUCCACCUUCUUCCCCAAGUUCUUCUUCUUCUUCUUCUCCAAGCCCUAGAGGGAUUCUAGAGAGAGAAAGUGAGGAAAUAAGAGAGGAGGAGGAGAAUGGCUGUGGGAGAGAGGGGUUGGGCCAUAUAUAGUGUUGUAAUAAUUGCACUUAAGCCCCUCCACUUGUUUCCUCAUGAACUGCCCAGACUAGGCAUUUUUCGCCUUCGGGGACCGGUCUCCCCGACCAGGGACCGAUUCCCAAACGGGGGUUUUCCAGGACUUAGCCAAAUUUUUGAGUUUUUCUGCUGUUGCGCAGCGAGGGACCGGUCUGCCCGUCAGGGACCGGUCCUCCCGAGGACCGGUCUUACCACCAGGGACCGGUUGCCUCAAGACUUCCUGGCAGGCUACGCGCACGGGGACUGGUCUCUCCUUCAGGGACCGGUCCCCGAGAGCACAAAAUCUGGGACUUAGCCAGAUUUCCAAAUUUGCUCUCCGGGUCCCCUUUUGCUCCGUUUAUGAACUCCAAUGCACUUAGGGUCCACUUUAACUCGUUCAAUUUCGCGUUCCGCUCGUUUUGACGGAACUCGGUACUUCAGUUUGCGGAUGAAACUAAUUUUAGGCGCAGUGGAGAUGUAACAUACACGUUCCCUUGUGAAUCAUANNNNNNNNNNNNNNNNNNNNNNNNNNNNNNNNNNNNNNNNNNNNNNNNNNNNNNNNNNNNNNNNNNNNNNNNNNNNNNNNNNNNNNNNNNNNNNNNNNNNUCUCGGAGUUGGUACGGAUGCUGACGUUGGUCUCGCCGUGCGGGAUUGGGUGCCGAGUGGAUUGCCGUGGGGGUGUUAUACACCGGGCAUUGGGAGCGGCGCAAGCUGGCUCCUUGGGUAGGUCCCUGUGCUAUGAAGGAAAGUACUAAAUGAAAAGGCAGUAAGAUGUUUUUAUUAAGUGUACGUAGUCAGCUUUAUGUUCGUGCAACUCAUGUCUAGUGUUCAUGAUUAGAGUUGCUUAUAUUCUCUUUUAUGAAAUGGUGCUUACUGAUUUAGAAAGCUAUUAAUGUGAUUACAUUGCUUGUUAUGUAUUAGCAACAUGUUAUAAUAUGCAAUUAUUGUUAUUGCUUUCAUUUGAGUCAUUUGAGCUUAUGGUGUAAUUCGCGGAGCGCUGGCGGCUUCCCCUGGGACUAUUGGUUUAGUUUCACGCCCUUUUGGUGGUUUUUUCCAGGCUGUUACAGGAGAGUAGGGAUGUGGCAAUGGGAGAUCGCGCCUAGUAGGCUACUAGGGAGCGUUGGAGUCUGUCACUUGUACUCGGCUCGGCGAGGUGUUGUCCUAGUGUAUAGGAGGCACCUUGUACUAUUCUUUUUGAUAUCCAUAUGUAUUUUUACUUCGGGGUUGAGAUGGUUGGUGUUUUUCUUUUGUUGACAGAUUUUGGAUUUGGUAUACCUCGUUUGUAUUUGAUUGGAUUUAUACUCGUUUGUAGAUCGCUUGUUCUUUGCUCUGUAUCGGUUAGGCUUCUUGUUUUCUUCUAUCGACAUUGCUUCUUGUAGACGCCUUAUAUACUGAGGUGUAUGGGGGUCUGUGCACGUGCGAUAUGCUUCGCUGGUUCGGGUGACAGAUUGUGUAUCAGGCUAGGGUUUGAGUCUUAGUAGACUAGCAACCUUAGUUGUUGGACUUAUAGAAUAGGUUCUGUGAGACGCAGUUAUGUUGAGUUUUGUUAGCGAAAGUAUCUUUGAUUUGGGUUUAUAAUCGUGUAGGUUUGAUCGAUGUGCAAUUAUAACUUUGCAGAGGGCACGUUUGGCGGACGACAAGUGACUCGGAAGUUAUACGCGUACAUUUAUUACUUCGCUUAAUUAGUUGUUUUAUCUCUAGAGGGUUCCAUAGUAUAGGUUUAUUGACCUUGUUUGUUUUGUGUUGCAGUUCAAGAUGCCUCGACUCGUUGCUGGAACGCCGGUGCGGGCUGAGGCAGCCGCUACGGAAGAAGUUGGACUUUCGUCCUUCGGGGUCCAGUGAGCUCCUGAGUUAGCGGGAUCAGCUUGUGACGGUUGCGAGUUGGUUACUCAGCAGGCCGCGGCAGCGACAGCAGAAUGGCGGCUGGCGCGUCGGACAGGGGACAGGAUGAAGAGGUUAGGGGAUCUGUUCUUGGGAGCGACGACAGAGAGAUUCAGUUCUGUACCUCUAGCCACCAGAGAGGGGCACACAGUGAGAGACAGUCACAUGUAUUUGUCACACCCACCCGUAGCCCGAGGGUGAGACCCGACAGGGACAGUGUCCCCAUCGUACUGUUAGCCAGCAUCAGGGACUUUGUUACCCGAGAUGUCGGGGUUGGAGCUGUGGUGAGGCGAUUGAUUGGAAGACUGAAUGAAGCCGUCGCUUGCAACCUCAUGUCUUUGGAUGGGAGAAGUCAGAUCAUGGGGUGGUGGAAAAUGGCUGAUGCCAUGGAGAAGUUAUUCUAUGACACCUUGUUGAGGGGUCGAGUCUGGUUUGCGACACACACCUGUGAUGGCGAGGUUACAGGUGGUGCGUGACAUACGGGGAGGAUCCCCGUGCUGAUUGUGUAUCACGAUGGAACAGGUCAAGGAUAUUGUUGUUGAGACUAUUUUUCCACAGAUGUGUGAAGAGGCGAUGGAAAGAUCGAGGAAUUUGAGGCAGGGACAGGACGUGCAGAGUAAUGAGCGAGAGAUUCUCCGAUUUUACGCGACUGCUGUUCCUUUUGUGGUUGAGAUGAUGGGACUAAGGCUCGUAUCUUUAGGUGGGUUUUGAGACCUGCGACGUUUUUUUCGAUUGGCUCAGGCUGUCAAACCAUAUCUAUUACAGGGAUGUAGUGAACAGAGGCCUGAUCGUGAGAAGGGGGCGGAGAUAUGCAGGAAAGAAUGUGCGUGGAUCGAAGCAAGAGGCAGGAGACAGCGGCUGAAGAGAGUGGUCAGCCUCUUUAGGAGACGCCAAAGUAUCGAGAGGCAGACGGGGCGUUGGUCAGCGAGGGGUCGAGGUUCUUCAGCACCCAUGGAGCACGACCGAGCGUCGUCGACCGCGCGUUGUGUUAUCUGUGGUGGGCUCACGUACCGCCACAGUGUCCACACGUGGGGCAGCGUGCUGUUUUCUGUGCAGGCCAGGAUGAGGCAUUUUUCGUGGCAGAGUGUCGAGAGGUUCUUUGACUGCACCCUCGUCAGUACUGCACUGAUCUUCAGCUCCGAGCCAGGGGACUUCCGACAGGCUUAUCAGUCUAGGACGACCACCAGGCAGCGGCAGUUCGGAGAGUUCACAGUAGGGUUCGAUGUGGGCGGAUUGAUAUGCCGCCCAGACUAGGGCGCCGCAGCGCACAGCGAGUCUAGAGUAUUAGUUGCUUGUUAUGAGUUUCUGUUCGUGCUUUUUUACUGGGUGCUUCGCUUCUUUUUAUUGACGGCAGUUCGCCGAGUGAUAGCAUUUCUUUGGAGCACCUACUGUAUAAUCUGGGCGAGUGAUUGUAACUGCGAUCCCUAGUAUGUUUGUGAGUUUUGCCUCGCUGCCAAUAGGUAGGGACUGGAUGGUCUGCAGUGGAUUUAUUGGCCUCACAAACUAGGUGAGUUUGAUGUAUAUUUGGUUGGAUUGGUUGACACAGUAUUAUGACACCAUACGAUUGCAACGAACAGAACGGUUUAACUUUAGAGACGGACGUAGGAAGAGUUUGUUAUAAGGGAUGUCGAGAGUUCAUUGUUGCCAUGACCAUCGAGCUCGUCGCGGCCGACAGUUUGAUUCGGAGGAGAUGUUUAUAGGCCUACUUGGCUGUAUUCUGUAAGAUGACGGAGAAGCGUCAAGAUAAUGAUAUUCGGUUGUGGCGAUUGAGUUCAAGGAUGUGUUUCAGCUGAAUUGCCGUGGCAUCACCUGAUAGGGAUGGUUGGAGUUUGUUGAUUGACCUGUCCAUGGGACUACCCUAUUUUCUAAAGGCCUUAGUGAUUGGGCACCCGCUGAAUUUGAAGAGCUGAAGGCAAGUUCAAGAUCUUUUAGAUAAGAUUUAUUGGACGGUGUUAUCUGCCUUUAGGAAGCAGCGGUUUGUUUGUUAAGAAGAGAUGGAUCUCUGCGAUUUGUGCUGUGUUAUGAGAAUCAACAGGUCACAAUCAAGAAACAAUAUCCAUUACCUAGAUGUGAGAUUAUUCGGAUCAGUGCAAGGAUCGAAGUUUCUCAAGAUUGAUUUGCCAUCCUGGUUUCCAUCAGCGUAGAUCAAGCCUGAGAUGUCUCUAGACGCUUUUAGAAACUCAGUAUGGCAUUUGAAUUUACUGUUUGCAUUUUGGACUGAUAUGCCAGCAGCGUUUAUGGAUUUAAUGAUACCGUGUCUUUAAGCCGUUUUGGACAUUGUUUUGUCGUGUUUAUGACGACAUAGUUGAUCUAUUUCGAAUGAAUUGCGGGGCAUGAAAUCAUUGAGAAUGUGUGGCAAGUAUUCGAGAAAAGAAACUGUUGCAAGCUCAAGAAUGCGAAAUUUUGGCUUCGAGAAGUGCGAUUUGGCAUGUUAUUUCAGAAACUGGGAUAGCUUGUGGUCCCAAGAAGAUUGAGCGAUUAAAGAUUGGCCUAGGCCUAUAGUGUCACAGAGAUUCGGAAGUUUCCUUGGAUUGGCGGUUUACUACCGAAGAUUUGAUAGUGGGAAUGCCAAAGAAUGUCUACUCCUCUCACUGAUGAUUUACACAUAAAGGAGCUAAGUUUCUGUGGAUGAAGCCUGUGAAAGAAGGCUUUCGGAGCUACAGCGAACGAUUGACUUACGCCCCGUAUCUUGAGCGGUACCAUGUUACGAGUGGAUUAUGUUGAUUUACGCGAUGCGUCGCUGAAUGGAUAGGGUGUGUUCUAUGCAGAUAUGGCAGAGAGUAAUUUGCUUAUGCUUCUCGCCAUUGAUAAGAAUUAUUGGAAAGAACUACCCUUACACAUGAUCUUGAGUCAGCAGCUGUAGUAUUUGCUUUAAAAUUCUUUGGCGGCCACUACUCUACGGUGGCGUUUGCGAGUCUCUUACACAGAUCAUAAGACGCUUAAAGUAUCUGUUUACUCAGAGAAGAAUUAUAUUGCGCAACGUAGAUGGUUAGAGUUGGCUCAAGGAUUAUGAUUGCCAUCCUCUAUCAUUCCUGAAAAGCUAAUGUUGUUAGAGAUGCUCUAAGUCGAAAAUCGACGGAAAUUGGCGAAUGUCGUAACAAUGAAACAUUGUUGUUAGGAAAUGGAGCAAUUGAAUUUUUGAAGUUGUAGCUCCUGAGCAACACACUUGAGACUAUGUGUUGGUGUGCAGCUGACCCUUGAGGAUCGAUCGAAUUAAAGAAAGCAAAUUCGAAAUGAUUUUGCAGAAGCAUUUCGAGAUAAGGAUCACGGUUGAUCAUGAUCGUUCUGAGUUCACGUGAUGAUUCGGGGAUUACUAAAGCGGUUGAUAGGCUCUGAUGUACGGCCAGAUUUGUAUUAGAAGAAUUCUGUGCAGAGCCACAUCGGCACGAUUAUACAUUCACAGCUGGGGUACAAAAUGUAUAAAGAUUUAGUUAAUUACUGGUGGCAUGGAAUGAAAAGGAGUUGCGGACACGUGGCUAAUGUGCUUAACGGUCGAGCGAGUUAAGCGGAACACGUCGACUUCCUGCGGCGAAACUUCAGAGCUUACCCAUACAAGUGUGGAAGUGGAGAGGAUACUAUUGGAUAUUCAUCCUUGGAUUACCUCGCUCACAAGCAGUCACGAUGCAUUUGGAAAUUUGUUUGACGAUAUGACUAAUCUGCGCACAUUGUAUCCAUCCACAUCGACUUUUGGUCAGGAGAGAAUCGCAGGUGUACCUUGAUGAAUUUGUGCGAUUACAUGGAAGUACCUAGCCUUUGUCUGAGCGAGACCCGAUUUUCAUUUUGGAGGAGACCUACAGGAGGCCAUGGGCCCGACUGGAUUUUAGUUACUGCUUUUCCACCCAGCAUGAUGGGCAGUUGAGGUUACAUCAGACCUUGAAGAUAUGUGAGGGCCUUGUGAUUGAUUACCAGGGCCAGUGGGGCACAGUUCUUACCGUGGCGGAAUUUGCCUUGAAUAACGAAGCUAGUUACGCAAAGUUUCAAUGGCACCGUUUUGAAGCCUUAGUAUGCGCGAGUGCAGAUCACCCCUUAUUGGAGCGAGUGGAGAAAGGUUAGUUUUUGGGUCCGUAUGUACUACAAGAGGUGCAAGUUAACAGUUCGACUUUGCGCGAGAGGUGCUACGAAGCACGAAAGUCGAUCAGAGAGAGUUAUGCGGAACAAACGUCGGCUUUGAGAUAUUGGAUUUCCAAGUUGGUGAUCAUGUUAUUUCCUAAAGGUUUCUCGACGAAGGAUUAGAGAUUUGGCAUUCGGAAGUUGAGCCCGGAUUUAUUGCGACUCGAGGUGUGGAGGGAUUAGGCCCCGUCUAGCGUAUCGACUUGCGUUGCAGCCGAAUCUUCGGGAAGGUACAAUGUGUUUUCACAUAUCUACGUUCGGAAAUAUGUUUUUGAUCCACUCACAUAUUGGGAGAUACUCGUGGAUUUACAGAGCAUUGAGCUUUUGUGCAUGAAUCGUGAGAAUUCUAGCGGGAAGUAACGGCUUUCGAAUCCGAGUUACCCUACUGUGGAAAUCUUGUGGGUAAUCCGAGGAGCGGAGCCACUUGGGCAACUGGAGAGUGCAAAUGUUUAGAAGCAUUAUCCCUCCUUUUCUCGACGGAAUUCGUGAAUAGUCAUGAUUACAAGUUUCGCGGGCGAACUCUUUUAGGAGGGGCUUAUGUAAUACACUGGACUUCGCAAAUUCGGAGGUUCGGUAGUGGGAUGGUUGUGUGGAUCACCUCAUGUUCUAAAGGUUUAGACAAGUUUUUGGAUAGUUAUGAGGAUGAUUGGAAUGCUAAAAUGUAUAGAAUGUGCAUUUUGCUUGGGCGAAUCAGCUUUUUCUUGUAGUACGGUAAGCCAUUAUGGUGUACUGUACACAAUGCCCAGAACCGUGGCAGCUUGGUAUAUUUGGGCUUUUCAAUCUUGAUAUCCAUAUGAAUGCCAGCACGACUUCUGGAGACUCAGUGAUGGUUGCUGAAGGGUCGGCCCUUCUUCUUCUCUCUCUCUCUCUCUCUCUCUGGGUUUCUCUACUCUCAUCGAAUUCGCCGAUUUCGCUCAUGUUUUCGUCGCGCGCCGGUCUUCGCUGGUUGCAAGUGUUGAGCCUUUGUGCCUGUGCAAGAGACUUUUUGCAGGGAUUUUGCAGCCCAGUGGACAGUGAUAAUGAGUGAUGCUGGUUGGAAGCUGAGAAGCGUAAUACGACCUUGAGGGGAUAUUUUCCGUUAUCGACUUCUAUUCGUCGAUUUGAGUAGCCGAUUUCAGAUUUUAUGCUUUGGCUUUCUAAUGAGAAUUGCUAUUUAUUAUGAGGUUAUUUAGGCUGUGAAUUAAUUCUUGAGACUUGAGAUAUCUAUUUGAGCUUAAUUGGAAUUAGCCUUUAUGAAGCUACAAUCGGAAAUUAAUGCACUAAGUUUGGACUUUGGAUGCAAAUUGAGAAUUUUUUCUUCGCGAGGUCUUCGAGCCUCGUUGAGUAAUUGUACUCUUUGAAGUCUGGUUUGGAGUAUUCUUUACCUGAUGGUAGCAGGGAUUUUAGUUAGAAACUGAAUUCGCCAAGAUUUCGACUAUUAUAGCUUUUAUCGACUUAUAUUGAUGUCCCGGUCUCGAAUUGUUUCGCAGGAGAGGUGUGUUUGACCCGUUUUGGAGCGCUUCUCUGGUCUUGGAGGACGCUUCUGGAGAGCUUAACGUGAGGAUUGAAUAAGCAAUCAGGGAUGUAUAGCUAUUUCAAUGUCGAGUCGUGUAAUUGCGCGAAAAUGCGCUUUCAUGUUUUGAUCGAUUGUAGUGUUCUGUGUUCAGCGGAUUGACUAGGGAGGCUGGAUUCCUUGGAACUCUCUGGACUGUUUUGGGGCCUUGUACUAGGUGGGGUCGGCCUAACGGCAAGUGAACUCCUUCUUAUGUUCUAUAUGUUAUUAUAGAAAUGGUUUUAUGGUGGUUAUGUGAUUUUUAUGGACGGAUCGUCAUCAUGACGUUUAUAUUUGUGAAUGUAGGCGUUUUAUAAUAAAGUAACUCAGCAUUCAAGUAUUUUUGUGUUUGUUCAGUAGAACAAUAGAAUUCAGUUUAUUAUGUUUCUUGAGUAUAGAGAACAUAUAUUACAUGAAGUAUUUACAUUAUAUUCAUUAACAGUUUGAAUGUCUUUUGACAUGUAGAUGCACUUUAGUUUAGGAACAAUACUUCUUUUGACUCGAAUAUGAGAAUGAUGACUGCUUGGACUAUGUGCUAGUGCAUACUAGUGAAAGAUAGUAUAAUGCUAUGGGUGGAUUUAGUUUACCUUACAGUUCAAUUAGUGUUAUAGUUUGUUACUAUUGUGUAUGGUUGAAUUCCGAUCAGAGGUCGGGGUAAGAAUUUGCAUGAGAAUUAUGAAAAAUGUGACUUGUGGAUAUUGGAUAUUGUCGUUGCUUGCAUCGUGAUCUAUCGCACGCACGCUUGUGAGGAGGUAGCUCUACAGCCGGCACUCGGCAGUUGCUAUGCGACAGUUGCUCGGUGCGGGAUUGGGUGCCUAAGUUAGGUUGCGUGGGCGAGUGUAUACUAUCCACUGGGGCCAUUAAGCGCGGCGCAAGCUGGAUACCUUGGGUAGGUCCCGUGAAUAGUAACAGUACUAAAUGAAAAAGACAUAAUGAAUUGUUAUUAUUAAAUGGUCGUUCCUUUUAUAUUUCGUGCUUUAUAUCAUGUCUAUGUUCAUGAUUACAGAAGUGUGCUAUAUCUCUUUUAUGCAAAUGGUUUCAUUACUGAUAGAAAGCUUUCAUGUGAUUUACACUGUUAUUAAUUAUUAGAACAUGCUUAUAAUCCUUGCAAUUAGUGUUAUUGUUCAUUUAGUCAUCUUGAGCUGUGGCUGUAUAUUCGUCGAGGCUGGCGGGCUUGACCACUGGACACUAUUGUUAUGUUCUCACGCCUUUUGGUGGUUGUUUUUUACAGGCCUGUUUACAAGGAGAUGGCUAGGAGAUCGUGGCAAGGAGUUCGCGCCUAGUUAGACUCUAGGAGCGUGCUGCUCGUACUUGCUACUCGGCGCUACGGCGAGGGGAUUUCCCUUAUGUAGUUAGAGAACCACGUUGUACUUUUUUUUGUUAUCCAUGAUGUAUUAUUUUACUUUCGGGGAUGAGAAUUAGUGGUGUUACUUUCUUUGUUUGAGAUCUUUGAUUGUUACUCUUUGUAUUUUGCGUUGGAUUUGAUACUCGUUGAUAUAUCGACUUGUACUUUUGCUCUUUUUGAUUUUUUUUUUUUCAGGGAUAGGAUUACUUGUUUUUCUUCUAUCGUUGUUCUUGUAGACGUUUAUAUACUGCAGUGGUAUGGCGGGUCUGUGACGUGCGGAUAUGCUUCGCUGGUAUACGGGCGUGACAGAGAAUCUUUUACCAGGGACUCUUAUAUUUUCUGAGAAAAGAACCAUUAAUCAAAUAGCACCUAAGUAGAGCCCAAAACUAGCACUUCUCUAAGCAGUACUUUUUCUAAUAACAUCACACUCACUACACAGCACCCGAUGGGGUCAGGGCAAAGCAUUGAACCUAUAAUAGAGAAAAUUGACAGGGCGCUGAGGAUGUGCGAAGCGCGCCCGGGGUCGGGCUUGAGGAGGUCACGGAGGGUGAGUUCAGGGAAGCGGAUGGAGGCGAGGAAGUCCUUGGCCUUGCGGUAGAGGCCGAGGAUCCUAAUGGAGUCGGCGUAGUGGUCGGGGUGUCGAGGUGCUUCAGCGCUGCGAACCCGAUCGGGUCAUCGGCGCCAUCACUAAGAAGCAUGAAAAAGAGGAAGAAGUUGCUAGGGUUAGGGUUAGGGUUCAGAGGAUUAGGGUUUCCAGUGGUAGGGUUUUAGUCGUACCUGAGAGGGUCGAUGCAGGCAAAGAAGUUGGAGAAGAUGGAGAGGAGGAGAUCGAGGGAGGGCGAGGCGAGAUCGUCGGGUUUGAGGGAAGGAGAGACGAUGCCCUCUGACGCGAGCACGGACGCGAUAUUCGAUGCUGACACCUCUGACACCGAGAAGCUUGACAUCUCUCUCUCUCUCUCUCUCUCCUCUGAUUUCUCUUUCCAUUUUCCCGUCGAACAAGGGCGGAGGGUGAUAGUGAGUUCCGAAAUAUUCCUGGACUCUAAUUAGGCCGGGCCUGAAUUUGGGCCUACAUAUUUUCAAUGUAAAAAGGAGAACUUUUUUUAUGGUUAAAUUACAAAAACAAAUCCCCUGUAUAUACCCGCUUUUCACUUUUCCUCCCUUACUUUCAAAAACCUAUAUUUUGUCCACUUAAAAUUUUAAGUUGUUGCAUUUAGCCCCUCCGUCAGUGUUCCUUCACUAUUCUGUCUAUUUUUUAUAAUUUAUUCCGAAAAUGUCCUUCAAAAUGACAGAAAUAUAUUAAAAAUUUAUUUUUUUGAUAGAAGAAGUAAGGGCAAUUUGGUCAUUUUGCCCGCUCCAUUAGUACCCUCCUGAAAACAUUUCUGAAAUUUUAAGGAGGGAAAAUGUAGGUUUUUUAAAGUCAGGGAGGAAAAGUGAAAAAACGGAUAUUUAUAAGGGAGCUUUCUGUAGGCCCAAAUACAGAGGGCGAUAGUUAGUAUUUUUUUUUUUGAUUCUCGGAUGAAAAAGAAGUUAUAUGUGUGAAUAUAGAAACCAAGUAUUUCAGUAAUAAUAACUAAGUUUAAACAAUUUAGAUUAGCAUAUUUGAUCUCGUAAGGUAUUAAUAUUAUUGGAUUGGAUCAUUACACAACAAGCGCCACUUCAGAAAAUGCAACACGUAUUUAGUUUUAAUUUCAAGAGUCCAGCUACUAUCCUAUCGAUAGUACAAAGCUCUUGGUACUAUCGAAUUUUUUGUUGUUAGAUCCACCUUUUGAUUAUUUUCAUCUAUUAAAUUAUACUCUUCAACCUACCACCCACUCAACCUAGGGGACCACUAUCAUCAUAACCGCACAUUCCUUCAUCCAACAGCAAAAAACUUGAUAGCACCAACCAUUUGGCACUAUCGAUAGUAUAGUAGCAUAAUAUGUAAUUUCAUAAUGGCCUUAAUGCAGCGAUUGCCUUUGGCACGAUAAUUUUUCCUCUCCUGGGCUAGGAUAGAAAAUUAAAUCUAAUAUAAAUUCCAAAUCUUAGAGGCCAUUUUUCUCCUCUCAAACUGUUAUCCUCCUCAGUAGACAAAGAUGGAUAUCUAUGCAAUGAGCCCAAAGUAUAAAAUAAAGCAACAACACAACAGACACAUUUGCAUUGUCACACCCCGGGACCGAUACUAAUUUGGGCCGGCCCGCGCAUAUCAAACAGACGCCGAACGGACAGAGUUUUUCCUGCCCGCCCAAGGCUCAUCACUUGUACAUUUUCAAACAAGAAGUGCAUUAGCGGAAACAUACAUAAACGGCUUACACGAGGGUAAGCAAUAGCCAUGAGUGAAAGAGAGGAAACUAAACAUCUACUCAAGUAUUAUGAUUCAACUUUGAUCACAUACAUUGCAUUUAACCUUCAUAUUCAUGAUUCUUUACAUUGCUUGCAUCAUUUCAUUUACAUCAUAUUUGCUCCAAAUAAACAUUUACAUUCUUUUCCUUUUACAUCUCAAUUCAUCAAAUGCAAAAGAUGAAGUAAGGGAAUGCUACUACAAAAUGUAAAUCCAACUCUGGUGGCCUCUGACUAAGAUGCGAUACUUUUACCGCGGUCGCUCGCCGGCUCACUCGGUCCCGGCUCUGUGGAAAUAGUGGGGUGAGAACUACAACGAAGCUCCCAGUGGGUUCGGCCCCAACCUCACCGACUUUCCCACUAGGACUAACUCGGGCAUAAUAGAAAGGAUAAGCAGAAUAAUAACCCAACUAUAAUCAUGAUGCUAAUAUGCCUGAACAAUAAAGUAAGAAGUAUGCUCAAUGUAAAUCAUGCAAGUAUGCAAGUUCUUUGUUCUUUAUUCUUUCUUCUUUAACCAUUGCUCUUUGUUCUUGUUCUUUAAUCUAACGACUAACCCGGGGGUUUCGCCACAUUAACUUGCUUACAUUAAGUCCAUCAUCGCGGGCCCUCAGCUGCCUCCCGCUAAGACCGUCAUCGAGUUUACUCUAACCCGUGAAGCAAAACUCCGGAGCGCAUCGCCCGAGGGGGAGCGACCGCCCUCGAGCACGGAACUCAUUGCAAGUAUGAUCGAUCCUUAACUCUAAGGAUAUAGUUCAAUCAUUGUCUUUACACUAACUCUAGUGUUCUUUAUAUCACUUUAUUUUGCUAACUCUAGCAAUCAUUGUUCUUUAACUUUACUCGUUCUUUAUGCCACUUUUAUUUUCUUUACGUGUCUCUACUCAUUUUCAUAAUUCUUUGCGUCAUAUUUCUCUUUGAUGCCACACACUAACUCUAGUGUUCUUUACAUUAUUUUAUUUUGCUAACGCUAGCAAUCAUUGUUCUUUAACUCUACUCAUUCUUUAUGCCACUCGAUCUUUGUUUUAUUGUGUCACUUUGUUCUUUCAUCUCAUUGGACGCUCACAAUACAUCUCAUGCAUACAUAUAGGGUUAAAUAGAUUCUCAAACAUCUCAAAUAGCACGUGUACUCACAUCAUGCAACAUUCACAUAUAUAUCAUCACAUCUAUCCUAUAAUACAUGCAACAAUAUAGAUAUAUGCUCAAUUGAAUGAUACAUUAGGCAUAGAAGGAAUUCCAACAAGUUUGGAUAGCACCACCCACCUCGUAGGCGUACUAGGAUGCUACAAUGAUUUUCUUGGGAUUUUUAGACUCCUAGUUCGUCACCUGCGGCAAAACGAAGCCCUAUUAGGCCAUUUUGCUCAUAUCUUUACAUUGACUUUUCGUAACGUUAAUCCGAGCGCACCAAUGUGUCGUAAAUACCCCCAAUUAGAUUUUUAGAGGGUCAAUUUCAGUUUAGAACCUUUACAAGCAAAAGUCCCAAAUUUGGGUGCCCUAGCUCAACCCACAUCAAAACCUAGGGUUUGAUCUAAUUAGGAAGCAAAAGAAGCUUCAAUCUACCCUAGAGACUCCAUAAAAACCAUUCUUAGCUCAAUCCAAACCCUAGUUUGGAUUCUACUAUGAGAGGGGUGAAGCUCAACUCUAAGCUUCAUCACCAACACCUACUCCAUGGUUUUGAUCUCAUCCACAAGCAAAAGAAAGCUUGAAACACUCAUUAGGCUCAACUAAAACCAUUUCUAGGUCAUUGGGUACUUAUUUUUAGGUUUUAUCAUAAAAGGGAUCAAAGCUUACCUCAAAGCUUUCCCUUCUUCAAGCUAGAGAUGACGGAGAGGGAGUUUCUUCACUCCUUCUUUUUCUUCUCCUUCUUCUUCUUCUUCUUUUCCCUUUCUUUCCUUUCCUUUCUCUUUUCUUUUUUCUCUCCUUCUUGUCUUCUAGAGAGAGAAAGAGAGGAGAGAGAGUGUGAGAGGGUGAGAAUAGGAGGAAAUAUCUCAUACACCCCUCAUACAUAUCCCACAUAAUGCAUUUUUGCAUUUAAACCUCUCAACUUUCAUUUUAUUAAACUGCUCAAACUGGGCAGAUUUCGUGUGCGGGGACCGGUCUCCCCGACCAGGGACCGGUUCCUGUAGCUCCUCCCUGCAGGUAGCCAGGGCUCCCGCGCAAUGCGACUGGUCUCUCUUUGGGGGACACAUCUCUCGGGGACCGGUCUCUCCAGCAGGGACCGGUUCCCGAGAGCCUGAUCUCAGGGACUUAGCCAAUUUUUCCCUUUUCUCAUCUUCCACGCGUACGGGGAUCGGUCUCUCCCACCAGGGACCGGUCCUCGAGAGCUCAAAAACUGCAGUUUGCAGAUUUUUGAUUCUCUAGCUCUCAAAAAUCUCCCACAAUACACUUUUGAUCAUUUUAACACCUUCGGACUUUCUGAAGUGUACCAUCCUCACACUUUGGUCAAUUUGACUAAAGUUCGAUAUUUAGUUUUCAAAUUUUCGGUAUAUUACAUUCUCCACCCCUUAAAAUAAUUUCGUCCUCGAAAUUACACAUACCUUAACUCGUCGACUCAAAUAAAUGCGGAUACUUUCUCCGCAUGGUCUCCUCGAGCUCCUAAGUGGCUUCUCGCACAGCAUGAUUGCUCCAUUGGACUUUCACAUAUGGAAUUCUGCAACUCCGCAGCUUUCUUUCUUCUCGGUCGAGGAUGCAUACCGGGUACUCCUCAUAAAACAUAUCCUCACGUAACUCCACGGGCUCAUACUCCAAUACAUGUGUCGAGUUUCGAAUAUACUUUUGGAGAUUUGGCACAUGAAAAAUAUUGUGAACUCCCGCGAGUCUCGGUGGUAGUGCGAGCUUGUAUGCCACCGCACCCAAGCACUCCAAUAUCUCAAAUGGUCCGACAUAUCGGGGGCUUAGUUUCCCGCGGACCCCAAAACGUUUGACUCCUCGCAUCGGCGAUACUCUAAAAAAUACGUAGUCUCCAACUGCGAACUCUAAGUCCUUUCUUCGCUUGUCGUCAUAACUCUUUUAUCGAGAUUGCGCCACCGCUAACCGUUGAUGGGCAAGGCGAACUUUCUCUUUCGCCUCCCGUACUACAUCCGGGCCAAGAGCUGUUCUCUCGCCCACGUCGCUCCAAUGAAUAGGAGAACGACACUUACGACCAUAUAGUGCCUCAAAUAGCGCCAUCGCUAUACUCUCUUGAUAACUGUUAUUAUAGGCGAACUCCGCCAUUGGCAAGAAAUCAUGCCAUCCUCCUUUGUAAUCUAGUACACACGUUCGAAGCAAUCCUCAAGGAUUUGUAUUGUCCGCUCUGACUGUCCAUCACUCUGAAGAUGAAACGCUGUGCUAAAGUCGAGCCGUGUGUCUAGCGCGUCUUGCAAGCUCUUCCAAAAAUGGAAUGUGAACCUGGGGUCUCGAUCCGAUACAAUUGAUACCGGAACCCCAUGAAGUCUCACAACCUCGUCGAGAUAAAUUUGAGCUAACUUGUCUCCCGACCACGUAGUAUGUAUCGGCAAGAAGUGUGCCGAUUUUGUCAACCGAUCUACUAUCACCCAUAUCGCAUCGUGUCCGCCUUGUGAUCGAGGCAAGCCGGUAACAAAGUCCAUCGCUAUAUUCUCUCUAUGCCAUGCGUUUGAGCAAAUGAUGCGCUAAUGAAUGAAUGAGAUGCGCCUGUAUCAAACACUGCUUUAGCUCUAGUGCCUUUAAUCACAAUUAUACCUGCCACGACGUCGUCGGGUGUUGCAAGCUGCUGCUCCUCCACCUGAGCGGCGAAAACCCGCCUGCUAGGUGCUCUCGAUCCCUCCGGCAGACGCGGUGAUGACGUGCACCCAGCCGACAUCGCUGGUGGUAACCCCGCAAGCUGUCUCGGGGUAGUCGGUGCCGAUGCCGCCGUCGGCGCAGACGACGUCCAGCUCGGACACUCCCGGAUAAGAUGUCCCGGUUGGCCACACUUAAAACAUUUGCCGUCUCGCUGCGGGCAAGUCGACACUCGGUGCUCUCCGCCACAAAUGACGCACCGAGGUGGUCUUCAGUUCCUCGACUGCUGUCGGGGAUAUCGAGGGGGUUUCUUAGCAUUCGGCCGGCCCCCGGCACCGCCCGCCGUUCGCUUCUUGCCUUUAUCUUUGCUUUCGGCGAUAGCCUCCCGUUCUUCACGUACAUGGGCGCUACCGUGCUCCGCCCACAAUGCUCUAUCAAAGACCUCCGCAAAGGUCGACAACUUCAGAAUCUGCACCUUCUCAUAAAUCCUCGGCUGGAGUCCUCGUAAGAACCAAUCAACCCGGUCCCGAUCAUCUCGAACAACAUCGGGAACGCAGUCGAUAAUGUGGGAGAAUUCCUGCUCAUACUCUCCCACCGAUCGAUCACCCUGUCGCAACUUGCGGAACCUUUCUUGCAACCUCCGCUUCACCGUGUCGGGGAAGUAAUUCGCGAAGACUGCUCUCUUGAACUCCUCCCACAGCAUAAGUGGAAGAUCGGUAGGUCGAUCCUGCCAUUACUAGAAAAUUAGUAUUAGUGGCAUUUAUUUAUGCUGCUAAAUGAUCAACAAAUGCUGCUAAAGAUUUUAGCAGCAUAUGACACCAAAUGCUGCCUAUGCCAAUGUUGCUAAAAGUAUUAGCAGCAUUAAUUAUAAAUGCCGCCAAUAUAAAUCAAUUAGUGUCAUUAGGAAUAUGCCGCUAAAAAGGAUUAAAUGCUAAUUUUAAAUUGCUUAGUAGUGACACAUAAAUAUAAUGCCGCUAAUACAAAUAUCUGAUUUUAGAAAUUAAAAUUUUAAAAUUUUAAUUUUAUAUUUAAUUUUUUUGAGAUGCUACCCGCUUAUUUUAUUUCUAUUUGUCUUAAACUUUGCUGGAAAUGUGAAUCAACUAGGAUUCGAACAGAGACCUCGAGUACCAACAACCAAGUCCUUUGCCACUUAUGCUAGCGACUAUUAGUUAUGUAUAUUUUAAUUUUUUAUAUUUUAAGUUUUCUAUUUUAAAAUUUUAAAAUUUUAAAUUUUUAAAUUUAGAUACUAAAUUUAAUUUUUAAUUUUGAAAUAUGAAAUUUUAAGUUUCAAAAUUAAUAGUUUUAAACUUGAAAUUUAAAAUUUAAAAUAAUUUUAAAUUUUUAAAAUUUUAAAAUUAAUAAUUUUAGAAUUUAAAAUUUAAAAUAUAAAUUUUAGAAUUUUAAAUUUUAAAUUAUAAGUUUAAUUUUUAAAAUUAUAUGUUUCGAAUUUUAAACUUUAAUUUUAAAAUUCUUUAUUCUAAAUAAAAAGGGAUUAUUAAUAAUUAUAUAUUAAUUAGAAAUGAUAUUUAGUAACAUGUGCUGCUAGUUUAUUAUAUUUAGCGGUAUUCACUAAUUUAUGCUGCUAAUUUAUCCUAUUUUGUAGCAUUAAUAGGAAAUUGCUGCUAAGUAAUUAAAUCUAGCGGCAGUUAUCAAGUAAUGUCGCUAAAUAUAUUAAUUGACAUGAUUUAAAUAAAUGUCGCGGAGCAAAUAUUGGAACAUUUAGCAAUAAGUGCUGCCACUUUAUUACAUUUAGUGUCAUUUUUUAUAAAAUGCUGGAAACUUCGGUGUCAUUUACUAAUUUAUGCUGCUAAUUUAUUCUAUUUUGCAACAUUAAUAGUAAAUUGCUGCUAAAUUAUUAAAUUUAACGGCAGUUAUCAAGUAAUGUUGUUAAAUAUAUUAACUAGCGUUAUUUAAAUAAAUGCUGCGGAGUAAAUGCCGCUAAAUCAUGAAUUUGUAGUAGUGCGCUUGACUCGAUUCCACCAUACCAUCGCCGCCUUCUCAAGACAAUGGGUGGCGAGGUACACUUUGUCCUUCUCCAAGGUAUUGAGGUCCUCGAAGAGCGUCUCCAUCGAGUCAAUCCAUGACUCCACGACCGCUGGCUCCACCAAACCGCCUUCGAAGGUAGGUGGGUCGAACUUCUUGAACUGAGUGAGAGCCGCCAACGUGCACUCUCGCUCCGCCUCUACCGCCGCACUAUCGGGAUUUGAGGUUCCUGAUCUGGCCGGUACUAUCGUAACUGGGACAGCUACCGCUGCCGCCGCUCCCUCGCCUACGCUCUGCACCACCGUAGGGGGUGCGACAUGCUCGACACCCACCUGGGCCGCCGCCGCUUGCUGACGCUCCAAGGCCUCCUGGAGCCGCUGAAUCUGUUCCCCUUGGCGUUGAACAGACUCCGCUUGUUGCCGCACUACACCUAUAAGCGCGGCCAUUUGCUCCCGAAGCUCUCCGUCGCCACUCGCUCCGGAUCGCUCGGGCUCCGCACUCGGCUCUUGUGGCAUCGACCUUGUCUGCGGUCGACCACGAGGUGCCAUUGCUUUCUGAAAUGAAGCAACUCGCAUUAGCUACAUGACCAACAUUACCUAACCACACCAAAUCCGACGAAAGCAAUAUGCACAUUCAUCCUUGCCUCAAGCGUCAUGUCGUCGGCCGCCCGACACAACACUAGAAGUAGAGGACAAAUGAAAAUUUAAACUUAGCCUCUAAUCAUAUUAGAGACGUCUCAACUUAACCCAAUCACAUGCUUUCGCUAACUUUGAUUCCACGUCACUCACGUUUCCUAGAUCCUUAAGGUCUUCCAAUCCUAAGGGUCUCUAGGUCCAUUCAUAUUCUUUCACUCUUGGCUCUGAUACCACAAUAUCUGUCACGCCCUGGGACCGAUACCAAUUUGGGCCGAUUCGAGCACGUCAAACAGACGCCGAAUGGACAGAGUUUCCCCUGCCCGCCCAAGGCUCAUCACUUGUACAUUUUCAAACAAGAAGUGCACUAGCGGAAACAUACAAACGGCUUACACGAGGGUAAACAAUAGCCAUAAGUGAAAGAGAGGAAACUAAACAUCUACUCAAGCAUUAUGAUUCAACUUUGAUCACAUACAUUGCAUUUAACCUUCAUGUUCAUGAUUCUUUACAUUGCUUGCAUCAUUUCUUUUACAACAUAUUUGCUCCAAAUAAAUAUUUACAUUCUUUUCCAUUUACAUCUCAAUUCAUCAAAUACAGAAGAUGAAGUAAGGGAAUGCUACUACAAAAUAUAAAUCCAACUCUGGCGGCCUCUAACUAAGGUGUGAUACCUUUACUGCGAUCGCUCGCCGGCUCGCUCGGUCCCGGCUCUGUGGAAAUAGUGGGGUGAGAACUACAACGAAGCACCCAGUGGGUUCGGCCCCAAUCUCACCGAUUUUUCCACUAGGACUAACUCAGGCAUAAUAGAAAGGAUAAGCAGAAUAGUAACCCAACUAUAAUCAUGAUGCUAAUAUGCCUGAACGAUAAAGCAAGAAGUAUGUUCAAUGUAAAUCAUGCAAGUAUGCAAGUUCUUUGUUCUUUACUCUUUCUUCUUUAACCAUUGCUCUUUGUUCUUGUUCUUUAAUCUCAUAGCUAACCCGGGGGUUUCGCCAUAUUAACUUGCUCACAUUAAGUCCAUCAUCGCAGGCCCUCAGUUGCCUCCCGUUAAGACCGUCAUCGGGUUUACUCCAACCCGUGAUGCAAAACUCCGGAGCGCAUCGCCCGAGGGGGAGCGACCGCCCUCGAGCACGGAACUCAUUGCAAAUAUGAUCGAUCCUUAACUCUAAGGAUAUAGUUCAAACAUUGUCUUUACACUAACUCUAGUGUUCUUUAUAUCACUUUAUUUUGCUAACUCUAGCAAUCAUUGUUCUUUAACUUUACUCGUUCUUUGUGCCACUUUCAUUUUCUUUACGUGUCUCUACUCAUUUUCAUAAUUAUUUGCGUCACAUUUCUCUUUGAUGCCACACACUAACUCUAGUGUUCUUUACAUUACUUUAUUUUGCUAACUCUAGCAAUCAUUGUUCUUUAACUCUACUCAUUCUUUAUGCCACUCGAUCUAUGUUUUAUUGUGUCACUUUGUUCUUUCAUCUCAUUGGACGCUCACAAUACAUCUCAUGCAUACAUAUAGGGUUAAAUAGGUUCUCAAACAUUUCAAAUAGCACGUGUACUCACAUCAUGCAACAUUCACAUAUAUAUCAUCACAUCUACCCUAUAAUGCAUGCAACAAUAUAGAUAUAUACUCAAUUGAAUGACACAUUAGGCAUAGAAGGAAUUCCAACAAGUUUGGAUAGCACUACCCACCUCGUAGGCAUGCUAGGAUGCUACAAUGAUUUUCUUGGAAUUUUUAGAUUCCUAGUUCGUCACCUGCGGCAAAACGAAGCCCUAUUAGGCCAUUUUGCUCAUAUCUUUACAUUGACUUUUCGUAACGUUAAUCCGAAUGCACCAACGCGUCGGAAAUACUCCCAAUUAGGUUUCUAAAGGGUCAAUUUUAUUUUCGAACCUUUACAAAAAAAAGUCCCAAAUUUGGGUGCCCUAGCUCAACCCACAUCAAAACCUAGGGUUUGAUCUCAUUAUGAAGCAAAAGAAGCUUCAAUCUACCCUAGAGACUCCAUAAAAAUCAUUCUUAGCUCAAUCCAAACCCUAGUUUGGAUUCUACCAUGAGAGGGGUGAAGCUCAACUCUACGCUUCAUCAUCAACACCUAAUCCAUGGUUUUGAUCUCAUCCACAAGCAAAAGAAAGCUUGAAACACUCAUUAGGCUCAACUAAAACCAUUUCUAGGUCAUUGGGUUCUCAUUUUUAGGUUUUACCAUAAAAGGGAUCAAAGCUUAUCUCAAAGCUUUCCCUUCUUCAAGCUAGAGAUGAGGGAGAGGGAGUUUCUUCACUCCUUCUUCUUUUUCUUCUUCUCCUUCUUCUUCUUCUUUUCCCUUUCUUUUCUUUCCUUUCUCUUUUCUUUCUUCUUCUCCUUCUUGUCUUCUAGAGAGAGAAAGAGAGGAGAGAGAGUGUGAGAGGGUGAGAAUGGGAGGAAAUAUCUCAUACACCCCUCAUACAUAGCCCACAUAAUGCAUUUUUGCAUUUAAACCCCUCAAUUUUCAUUUUAUUACACUGCUGGAAAUGGGCAGAUUUCGUGUGCAGGGACCGGUCUCAUCGACCAGGGACCGGUUCCCGUAGCUCCUCCCUGCGGGUAGCCAGGGCUCCCGCGCAAUGCGACCGGUCUCUCUUUGGGGGACCAGUCUCUCCAGCAAGGACCGGUUCCCGAGAGCCUGAUCGCAGGGACUUAGCCAAUUUUUUCCUUUUCUCAUCUUCCACGCGUACGGGGACCGGUCUCUCCCACCAGGGACCGGUCCUCGAGAGUUCAAAAACUGCAGUUUGCAGAUUUUUGAUUCUCUAACUCUCGAAAACCUCCCACAAUACACUUUUGAUCAUUUUAACACCUUCGGACUUUCCGAAGUGUACCAUCCUCACACUUUGGUCAAUUUGAUUAAAGUUCGAUAUUUAGUUUCCGAAUUUUCGGUAUAUUACAUGCAUCUUCAGUAUAUUGGGGAAGGUAAAUAAAAGGAGUUGAGGGACUCCGAUAAUGAAACAUAUUGUUGGAAGAAGUUAGUAAUUGUGUCGAUCAACGAUGCGAUAAUCUCCACGGUAUUCGUUUGGUUUUGUUGCAAUUAAAGGGCAACAAAAACUUACAAACUGGAUGGCACAAAUCGAAAUUGGAUGGAGACAUAGAGUUACUGGUUUUACUAAUCUUCUCGUUUCGUCCUUGUCUUGAUGCUUCAUGGUUUGAUGAUCAAAACUUGCCCAAUGCAGCAAUGUGUUGGAUUCCAAUGAAUCACUUUGAGCAAUUCUUAUUGCGAUGAACUUGCAAUCCAAAAGAAUAGUUACCAAUAAUCACCACAGGGACACUGGCCAUCCUUGAAAUGAUGAAACCGCUUGAUGUCUCUCUACACAAUCUCCCCGCUUGAUGUCUCUCUACACAAUCUCCCUCCCAUACAAUUCGCUCGCGAACUUCAUCAAAGAAUGGAAAUCCCCGCAAGCUAUGAGGUUCAUCACUAUCCUGAUGACGACUUCUCCCUCCACAGCACUUAGAAGCUGAGAGCAAGCGUGAGCUUCUCACUAUGGCAUCCUAAAGAAUCCUUCUUAUCCUCUUCCUCGAUGUUAUGUAGCACCCAUUCCAUAUUCGGCUCGUAACCUUUCUCCCUUGCCUUAAUCUCGAGCUCCUCGAGCUUGCAGUGUAUGUUAUAUCUUAUACCACAUCUUUAUGUCUUCUCAAUCACUUGCCAAGCUUAAUUUAAUAAGGUAUAAGUAGCAGCCAAAGCUCGACGAUCUUUUCUUUAAGCUCAACUUGCCGCUCCUCAGUGUUUGAAAACUCAUUCACAAUAGGUUUCGACAUAGCCAGAUUAUCCUCUCUAAUCAAUUCAAAUACAAACAAUGACCCUUUAAUCGAUAUCCAAGUACCCCACAACAAUUAAAUGCUCUGUAUAUAUUAAACAUACCUCUUUUUCCAAAAGAUCUAGGGCAUGUUUAGCUAUCAUGCUACUCUACUUUGGCAAUAAGAAAUGUUAACAAGUUCUGCUAUAGUGGGAAGCAAAAAUGUGGUUUUGAGACUCAAAAGCAGAAGCUUAAAUCUCAUGCUUUUAAUCCUACAGUAAAGAGAAACCGUUAUGAGGAAUUUGGCGCCUUUUUGGCCCUGCUUCUGCUUUUAAUUCUAAUCAUUUCGUAAAAAAAGCGCGUACUGCUUUUGCAAUAGCAGAAAUCAAAAAAUGAGGUUACAAGGUCGAAAAGCAGAAGCUUGCUCCAAUUUGGGUGCUUCUGCUCCAACAUCUACUUCUACUUGAAUGAGAAUCUUUACAAAAGAUCUUAGCUAAUAUAAUACUUCUUCGAGAACCAUUAAUUACAUAGCACCUAAGCAGAGCCAUAAACUAGUGCUUCUGCAAGCAGUGCUUUUUCUAAUAACAACAUACUCACUACACAGCACCCAGACGGAGUUAGGACAGGACACUAAACCUACAAUAGAGAAAAUAGACGCGGGCACUAAGGAUCUGCGAGGCGCGCCUGGGGUCAGGCUUGAGGAGAUCAUAGAGGGUGAGUUUGGAGAAGCGGAUAGAGGCGGGGAAGUCCUUGACCUUACGGUAGAGGUUGAGGAUCCUAAUGGCGUUGGCAUGGUGGUCGGGGUUGUCGAGGCGCUCCAGCGCUGCGAACCUGAUCUGGUCAUCGGCCCCUUCACUAAGAAGUAGGAAGAAGAGAAAAAAGUUACUAGGUCUAGGGUUAGGGUUUGGAGGAUUAGGGUUUUCAGUAGUAGAGUUUUAGUCGUACCCGAGGAGGUCAAUGCAGGCGAAGAAGUUGGAGAAGAUGGAGAGAAGGAGGUCGGGGAAGGGCGAGGCGAAAUCGUUGGGUUUGAGGGAAAGGGAGACGAUGCCCUCCGACACGAGCACGGAUGUAAUCUCCGAUGCCGACACCUCCCACACCGAGAAGCUCGACAUCUCUCUCUCUCUCUCUCUCUCUCUCUCUCUCUCCUCUGAUUUCUCUUUCUAAUUUCCCGCCAAAGAAGUGCGAAGGGUGACAGUGAGUUUCAAAAUAUUCAUGGGCUCUACUAAUUGGACUGGGACUGAAUUUGGGCCUACAUAUUUUCAAUGUAAAAAGGAGAUUUUUUUUAUGGUUAAAUAACAAAAAACCUCCCUGUAUAUACCUGCUUUUUCACUUUCCCUCCCUGACUUUCAAAAACCUACAUGCUGCCCCCUUAAAAUUUUAAAUUAUUGCAUGUUGCCCCCUCUGUUACGGUUCCAUCACAAUUCUAUCUAUCUUUUGUAAUUUAUACUGAAAAUGCCCUUUAAAAUGACAGAAAUAUAUUAAAAAUUAUUUUUUUAUAGAAGAAAUAAGCAACAAAAUUAAUUCCUGAGUCAAUUUCCUCAGUUUUUAUUAACCCGAAGGCUCUUUAUUAUUUUAUUCAAAGCGAAGAACCUUACUAGGGCUUGACAUGCCGUGAAUCCUCUUGAAAAAGAGGGGUGCCUUCGGGAACGCGGACACAGGUGGUGCAAUUUGGUCAUUUUGCCCCCCUCCAUUAACACCGUACCCUCCCGAAAAUAGUUUUGAAAUUUUAAGAGGGCAGAAUGAAUAUUUUUAAAAGUCAUAUUAGAAAAGUGAAAAAAUGAAUAUUUAUAUGGGAUCUUUCUGUAGGCCCAAAUGAGGAAGGUGAUAGCUUUUUUUUUUAUUUUUGACUCUCGGAUGAAAAAGAAGUUAUAUAUGUGAAUAUAGAAACCAAAUAUUUCAGUAAUGAUAAGUAAGUUUAAACAACUUCGAUUAGCAGAUUUGAUCUAGUAAGGUAUUAAUAGACAAAGAAGGAUAUCUAUGUAAUGAGGCCAUGCUCUUAUUUUAGAGAUUUCUCAAAAGUUGAUCAACCUUUAAAGAAUGUUUACAAGUAUAAAAUAGAGCAACAACACAAUAGACACAUUUGCAUCUUCAGUAUAUUAGGGAAGAUAAAUUAAAUUUGGAGUUGAGGGAUUCCGAUAAUAAAACAUAAUGUUGGAAGAAGUUAGUAAUUGUGUCGAUCGACGGUGCGAUAAUGUUUGGUUUUGAUGGAAUUAAAGGGCAGCGAAAACUUACAAAAAUUAUCGCCACAUGUUGGCACAAUAGAUCCCGCCGGCGAAUAAAUCAGUAGCGAAAUAUGUAUUUUGCCACUUUAAAUGUAACUUUUUGUGGCGACAAUAGUCGCCACGAAAAGGUAUCAUUCGGUGGCUACAUUUUGUUGCCACCAAUUGCUAGGAUUUGGUGGCAACUAGUUAUUGCCACCAAUGUUCAACUUUAGGUGGCAAAUAUUUGUCGCCACUAAAGAAGACAAUUGAUGGCAAAUAUUAGUCGCCACUAAAUAUAUCAUUUAAUGGCAAAUAUUUGUCGCCACUAAAUGUGUUUCAUUUGGUGGCAAAUAUUUGUCACCACUAAAUGUGUUUAAUUUGGUGGCAAAUAUUUAUCGCCAUGAAAAGUGUCCAUUUGAUGGCAAAUACAUGUCGCCACUAAACGUAACAUUUGGUGGCAAAAUUUUGUCGCCACUAAAUGUAGUAUUUGGUGGCGAUAAAUUAUAUUCACAUUUGAUUUUUUUAUUUUCUGCCACCAAAUAUUCAUAUAAAAAUAUAUAUUAGUAAGAUAACUAUCAUGCCCGGGUACCAGCGGAAGCAUAUCCGGUACGUGCACUGACCCGCCAUACACCUGCAGUAUAUAAGGCGUCUACAAAGAAAACAUGUCGAUAGAAGGAAUACAUAGAAGAAUCCUAUCCUGAUAUCAGAGCAAAGUAUAAGUCAUUAAUACCAUCUUCAGAAGAACAAAGAGUAUACUGCCCAAAAUCUCGACAUCAUAGAGAAGUAUCAAAACUAUAAUCCCCGAUUCAAACUACUCAUAUACAUCACAGGGUUACUCAAAAUACAUGUAUAAUGGUAGUCUCUCUAUACGCGGGUACAUCACCUUCGGCUGUGGCACGAGUAGCAAGGUGAUCACUUAGUAAAACAGCAAGCUAUGUCUAGCUAGACACGACUCCCUUGCCGCGAUCCCUAGCCUCUCCUGUAGGUGGCUCUGUAAAACAACAAUAAAACAGGGCGUGAGAACUAUUAAACAAUAGUUCCCAGUGGGUAAGCCGCCAGCCUCGGCGAAUUACACCACUAGGCUCAUCAUGUACUAAAUAAAAGUAAAAGCAAUAAUUGCAUGAUAUAUCUACAAUGCUAACAGGUGAUGAACAUGUAAUCAUACUUUCUAUAGUAAAUGAAUCAACUGAAUAAGAAGAGUAUGGCAAUUACUGUAAGCAUGAACAUAAACAUGAACAUAAGCAUGAACGUGUAAGUAAAUACUAUACACUAUAACUGGUAAUCAUUCAUUACUAUUAGCUGUCAUUUGGAACUUUAAUUUCAUUUAAAAAGACCUACACAAGGUAGUCCAACUUGCGCCGUGCCUAAUGGCCCCGUGGUAGUAUGCACUCCCCACGGCAAUCCACUUCGGCACCCAAUCCCGCACGGGCAAGCAAUUUGUCGCGUAAGCCAACUCCAAAGUGCCGGCUUGUAGGGAGCGACCCUCACAAGCGUGUGCGAAUGAGCACAAUGGCAAGCAAGCAUAGUCCAUAGUCCAAAAUGUCUCAAUCAUUACGUUUUAAUUUGCAAUGUUCUCGCUCUCGAUUCUUUGAUCGGAAUUUCAAUAUAAUGAAUAAUGACAAUAGCUAGUAUCCACUAGAUUAGUAAGCACAUGAAAGUAAUGUCAAUUUACAUAUGGCAUUAGAAACUUUCCACUAUCAAGGUACUAUCAAAAUAGUCACAUGGAAUGUCAUUAUUCUCUACCUUAUAGGAGCAUAAUAGAUAUGUCCAUUAAUUAUUCAACUGAACUAAACAUAAAUAUAAGUACUUUUAUGCAUAAGUGUUUUCUACUUCAUAGAGAUUUCAUUUCAAAUAUAUUAAACAUUAUGGUGGUAUGUUCCAAGUCCUUUAUCAAUCACAUAAUCAUACAAGUGCACCUAUGUACCAAUUCUAUAGUAUCAUAUAGAACAUAGGGGAGCUUCACUUGCUCUGGUUAGGUCAAACCCACCUAUCACUAAGUCCAAUCCAGCCCAAAGGAGUCCCAAAAUUCAGCUCAACUAGGCCUCAACCCUGCUGAAAAUAAAGCAUCAAAAAUGUAUUGGAAACUAUUACCAAAAGUCCAAUUUCGGGAAAAUUCUCAAUUGUACUAAAUUGUAAUUUGAAUCCCUGAUUUGGUUCACUUUAGUACCCAACUCAGCUGGAAGCAACGAAACUAAAAUGCGUCAAAAUCCGACACUAAAGCGCAAACUAGAGGGAAAUUGAGCUAAUUACCUUUCCAAAGCUCUCUUUCAGCAACUCCCUGAAUUAGACAUGAAGAACACAGCCAAAACCCUUCACUUCACCCUUCCAAAGCUGGCCCCAAGUCCUCCCAAAACAGUAAACGUCGAGCGGGGCGCAAAAUCGGCGCGUAACGGCGAUUUCUACUCAAAGAGAGAGAAACCCUAGAGAGAGAAAGUGGGGAAAGUGCAAAACCCUUUUCUCUGAGCUCUAGCAUCAUCCACAAGCUCCAGGAGUCGUGCUGGGGUCAAAUAGAUAGGUAUAAAAAGUGAAAUUACCAAAUUAGUCUUGCUGCCACGUAUCUGCCACUGUGUACCGGUACAAGGUGAUGGCUGUACCGGUACACAAUGCAAAAUUUCGCCAGAAAUGCACUUUCUUGCUUUCGACCAAUCGAUCACUUUUCUAAUUUGUCCAAAAACUUGUCUAAGCCUUUUAGAAGAUGUAGGAUAGUUCCACUUAUCAUUCCAAACACUCGAACUUCGCAAUUUGCUAAAGUUCAGUGUACUACAAUAACAAAAAUCAUAAGCAAAAACGCAUUCAAACCAAACUCCAACAUAACAAAUUACUUCAAAAUAAUGUUAUACAUUAGUUUCUCAAACAAUAUCAAUGAAAAUAAAAGAAACAUAAAACAAGAAUCCAUUAAAUUGCCAACUCACAACAUAAGUUCAAUUUAGAGAAAAAAAAAAUAAAAACUAUUAGUCAGUCAUGAAAGAUAAAAGUAUUCGAAGCCUCAGUUGAUACGAGUAGAUAGAACACCUCCCUCUGAUCCAUCUCAAAAAUAUCUCACUUAGACUUGGAGCAUCCAGGCGUAUCAUAAUCUGCAAGAUAUAGAUAAUUUAGAAAAAUUACUCCAGAACAAUAAUGCUCUUAAAUAGAAGUUUCAUAGAUGAAACAUAGAAGCACUUAAGGAGAGAUAUUUAUGACUAAAAAAAAUUAAAAAGCAAAUAAUGGGGAGAUUGCGACCUUCACAAGUUUUCAUACUGCUUUGGGACAAAAUCGGCAAUGAAGAUACUACCAGAGUCUCUCCACCCAGCCAGAAAGUCUCGAUUAGCACACUGCAGUGGGAAGAUGGUUAAAUUCACAUAAUAAGGUUAAAUUUGGAAACUCGACGAAAAGAACCAUAUGAAUACAUAAUGUAGCCUGUUCCCAUAUUGGAAUCUGAUAGUCUCAUUGCACAUCACUUAGGCAUCUUAAGGUUGUUAUUCUGGUUUUCUUCGAAUCCGUCAUUUGAAUCAAGCCUUGGUUGUGUUUGGAUUAUGUUUUGAUCUAAACUUGAUUCGGAACCAUGAUUCUAAUCCAACUUCUAAUGGGUUAUGGUUUGAGUUUUAGAUCAAAAUCUAACCUACACAGUUGGAACCUGUUAGUUUAGAAUAAAACCCAAUCAAAUCCCAAACUUCCAAGAAGAUUGAUGGACAACGGAAAAUUUUAGUAGUCUUGCGGCGCCUAAGUGAUAGAAACAAAACCAUAGAGCAUUGAUGUGAAUAUAUUAUAUUCCUACACACAGAAGGCUCCUUUUUGAAGUUUAUCCAAAUUUAAUCUAUAGUCUACAUAACUGCCUCAACUAAGAGAGGAUAAGCCGCUCACGUUGAAAUUUUCAAAGUUAUAUCUGAGAAGCUUCGCAAGCAUGAAGAAAAGCAUUACCUUACUGAAUCCAGGCGUAUCAUAAUCUGCAAGAUAUAGAUAAUUUAGAAAAAUUACUCCAGAACAAUAAUUUAGAAAAGUAUUUAUACCGGUAUUAGGAACAUCUGAUAUAGGUGGCGUAGAAUCUCUAUGCUGAAGUCCUGGAAUGUGUGCCAUAAUCGCUUGAAGCUGUGCUGGAAAUUCCAGACUCAAAUGAUGCUCUCAUUCCUAUGAACUACUGCCAUAGACUCUGAUCUGUUUUCUGUUUGAAAGGAUGUGCGCUAGAGAACCCUCUAAAAUGAGCCGAUCUGCAUCAACAAUGGCUAAUGUUGUUUGCCUUGUGAUUUAGGCUUGCUUUGUUUGGACAAUGCUUGUACUGGCUUUGUUUAGCUUGCCAUUUUAUCUAACAAGAAAGCCAGUGUUCCUUCCACACUAAAUUUAAUUAGUAUUGCACCUGGCAUUUGUUUCUCUCUUCAGGCUUGUCUCAAGAAGGAAGAUAAUAGGAAUUAGAGAAAAAAAGAUGAAUUCUAGUUUUGCUUCGAGCUUUUCUAUUUGUUUACUGUUGGGGAGUUGUCUGUUUUCAGGUAAACCGAGCAAGCUUCACUGCACCCACACCAAUCCAAGCUCAGUCAUGGCCGAUUGCUUUAAAAGGUCGAGAUAUUGUGGCUAUUGCAAAGACUGGGUCAGGGAAAACCUUGAGUUAUCUUUUUUCUGGAUUCAUUCAUCUUAAACGUCUUAACAAUGAUCAUCCAACUUGGUUGAAAGCAUAAUCCAAGAAUGCAUCAACACUGGCCAUUUCAUAUUCAAUAAGAGAUCUAUCUUGGAUGAUCAUCCAACUUUUGUCUGUUCCCAUUGUCCUGCUAAGAAUGUAUUAGUCGCACCAUAUACAAAAAGCAUAAAUUAUUGACAAAAUUUGUCAAAGUUCUUGCUAUGAUAGAAAACUAAAAUCAACUUUAAGUUAUAACCAAAAAGAGAUCUCUCUUGGAUGAUCAUCCAAUUUUCAUUUGGCAAACUACUCUAAUGAGGAUAUAAUAGACCAAGUAUUCUCUCUCCAAUAAAAAAACUAAGAUGAUAAUUUAUUGAUACCUAACUUUCUAAAUGUAUCAAAAGGCCACUUUUUUGGCAUCUCCACCUUAUUUAAGAACUUCUGUUUUCCAAACUUGGUAGAACAAGAAGGCACAUCUUUUAUGCAACAAACGCCAAAUAGUAGGUCAAGCUGACAAGAAAUUAUUGUCUGCACCAAGUGCAUGCUUACAUACAUCUUAACAUAAAAAUCUAAUUCAAUAUGUGAGAUUUGCAGCAUCUAACAAGCCUUAUACAAAAAUAAUAAGUUUUGUAAGCAUACAAUUACUAAAAUAUCAACUAGUUCAAGAAAUCAGCAGUGUAGUAAAUGAUGUUACUCGGAUGUUAGUCGAUAGCCUCAAACGUAUAUAUUAUUUUAGAAUAGCGAUACAUGGUGCACAAGGUGCAUGUAAUUAUUUCUCUAAAUUCAGUAAAACUUUUUGGGAACUUUAAUUUAAACCUUUUGGAAAAAAUAGAGCAGGAUCUCUUUAUAGUUGAGCCCCUCCAUUUCAAAAAAGCUCCACCAACCCAAAUAAUUUUCAGUAAGAGAUCUUUCUAUCUGCCAUUUAUGUAAUUUUGAGAUUCUCUAAUAAAAGAUGAGCAAAAGAAUCUAUCUCACUUUAAAGAUUGUUCAGUAUAUAAAUUAUUAAUAAAUUAAUUUUGGUAGGUAAUUGGAGGACACGGCACAGCGGAUAUAGGGUGACAAUUUUGAACCCGAUCGACUAAAACCAAUCCGAUCCGAUCCGGUUUGAGUUUGGGUUUGGGUUACGCCAACGUUUCGAUGUUUGCAUCAUGUGGCCUGUUUAUUUUGAGCGGAUUGGAUCAAGUCAGUUAAUUACGUCCAAUCGGGUUUGUUAAUAUUUUUAUUUUGCGUCAAAUAAAAAAAAUACGUAUUUUGAAGAGAAUGCACAAAAUUGGUUUUUCCUUCUCUCUCGUUAAUUUUUGUUCUUAGGCUUUAUUAUCUUAGAACUUUCCUAUUUAAUUUCCAUGUAUAUUCACGAACUCAAUCUCAGAUCCCUAAUCACUAAACUACUAGCAGUUUGGUAAAGUGUCACACCUCAAUAAUCUCACAUCGGAUAUGAAUGAGGAUGUGAUUGGAUAUAUAAAAGGCUUAGACACUAGUAAUAAUAACUGGGCUUAAGUAUUUUGGGCCGGUGGUUGGACCCAACGAGUUAUUAUUGCUAAUGGGCUGGGUCGUUACAUUUGGUAUCAGAGCUAGUUCACCAGCUAGAAAUGUGUGACGAGUCUCGUCUGAGUCACGUCUGAAAGACAAUGUGACAGGCUAUGCCUUCAGACCUGAUAGGCUAUACCGGAGUCUGAAUGACAAGGUGGCCGGCUAUGUCAGGGUCUGGAUGACAAGGCUAGCGAGACGAGUCUCACAUCGCCUGGUGAUCUUGAGGGUCUGGAUGACAAGGCUAGCGAGACGAGUCUCACAUCGCCUGGUAACCUUGGGCUGUGUGUGUGAUUGGACUGACGAAGACAUCAGAACCUUAACGGGGGGAGCUCCAAUAAUCCCACAUCGGAUAUGAAUGGGGACAUCAGAACCUUAAUGGGGGGAGCCCCAAUAAUCCCACAUAUCCGAUAAUCCCAUAUCGGAUAUGAAUGGGAAUGUGAUUGGAUAUAUAAGAGACUUAGACAAUAUUAAUAAUAACUGGGUUUAAGUAUUUUGGGCCGGUUGUUGGGCCCAACUUGGGUAUAUAAGAGACUUAAACAAUAUUAAUAAUAACUGGGUUUAAGUAUUUUGGGCCGGUUGUUGGGCUAGGUCGUUACACUUUUCAUGUUAUCCAUCUUUGGGUGCAUCGAGGAUGCAAAAAAUAAAAAAUAAAUGCUAUAUGUACAUCUUAUUAAGAUUUACACAUCAAUUGUGACCGUCCCUAGAGCAAGUGGAAAAGGGCUUGGUGGUUGGUACCCAAGGUCCCAAGUUCGAAUUCUAGUUGAUUCACAUUUCCAGCUAAGCUUAUUUCUAAAUGAAAUAAACGAAGCGGGUAGCGUGCUACCUAUCUCUCUCAAAAAAAAAAAAAGAUUUACACCUCAAAAAGUAAUAUAUAUUUUUUAAAAAAAUGUAAUAUACAAUUUGAAAGUUUGAAGAUUUGGUUGUAUUUAUGAAUUACAUAUUUUCUUUCAGUGUAAAAAUGCAAGGUAAUUUCUAGUGCGCUUCAACAAAAGAUAAGAAAAAUGUAUAGAUAAACUCGUGUCUCUAUACAAGUACUAGUUUAUUAUUAAAUUUAAUAAAAUAUAUAUAAAUUUGAGAUGAUACCUUAGUUUCAACUAAUUUGUGGUAAUUAUUUAUGCCACCAUAUGUGAUUUUAGAGAGAGAGUAAGCAAAUAUAUUAGUUUGUGGCGAUUUUUUUCACCACCAUAUGUGAUUAUAUAGUGGCAACAAAUAGACAUUUAGUGACAAAAAUAAUAAUGACACUUUAAAUUAAUUAAUAAGUGGCAUUUUUUUUAUCACCACUAUAUGUAAUCUUAUAGUGGCAACCAACUAGUAAUUUAGUGGCUAGCCACUUUAAGUUAAUUAAUGGGUGAUGAUUUUUUUUAUCGCCACCAUAGAUAAAUAUAUAGUGGCAAAAAAAUAGUUAUUUCGUGGUGAUAAUAGUAUUGUCACUUUAAGUUAAUUAAUUGAUGGCAAUUUUUUGUACCGCCACCGUAAGUAACUAUAUAGUGGCGACAAAAUAGCCAUUUAAUGGUGAAAGUAGUAUCGCCACUUUAAAUUAAUCAAUCGGUGGUAAUUGAUUUAUAUUGCUACCAUAGAUAACUAUAUAGUGACGACAUAUUUUAUCGCCACCUUAUUUUUGCCACUAAUACUAUCUUUUCUUGUAGUGAGGGGAUGUCUUAUACAAGUUGUAACAAUUCCCAAAAAGCCCUUCAAAACACCCAAAAUAGCAAACUACACGAAAUGCAGUUUCUGCACUACGUACAAGUACCGGUACCCAGCACCCAGACCUGCCAAAUCCGAGCCUCGAUCAAGCGGUCUCUUUACGGUGCACCGGUACCUGCUCGAUACAGUGCCGGUACCCGACCCCAGUAUAGAUACUCGACAAUCCCGUAUCGGUACUCAGCACCCUUUAGACCAAACCCGAGAGCAGCUCUCUCGGUCACGCAAUGGGGUUCCGGUACCCCACCCAGGUACCGGUACUCAGCACUCCAAAACUUGAAUUUACAAAUUUUGGUGCUAAAUAUUCCUUCUCGCAUUUUCGAACCACGAGUGAUAGGUCGAUACUCAAUCAACGGCCUUCAAAACACCAUGAAUAGCGCAAAACACUAUUCUAAUAUUAAAACCCUACAAUUUGCUAAAGUUCAGUAUGCUACAGUCAGUGAGGGAGAAGAAGCAGUGGAUGUGGAAAAAUCUAUACGGGAUUGACAUAGUCAUGACUAAGGAGGAGCUCGACACUAGCGGCGAAGGCGAUGUAAAGAUCGGAAUUUGCCUGUCACGCCCCGGAUGUCUCGUUCCCCGGGCACGCCGACAAAUCCGCCGUAUACAAAGGAAUUUCCACUGUAUACGAAGCGUCAAAGUACCUGUAGAAAUACAAUACUACAAACAGUAGCAUAGAGCUGCUCAAAAAAAUAAGCUAAAUAUCUGAGUUUCAUAUACAUAGCUAGAAUCCAAAAUACAAGGCUACUCGCACUGGCGAGUUAAAUAACUAUGUACAUAAACUCCAAAACAACAACUACCUGCAGUAGGGGAAAGCCUCUAGCUCUGACUGUCGGGUAGGGCUCUACCUCGCAACGCCCUUGCCUCGAUCCUGAUCGGCGGAAGAUGCAGCAGCCGGCACCAGUGGCUCUGCAAAACAUAAGUAACAACUGGGCGUGAGAACUACUGUAAAAACAAGUAGUCCUCAGUGGGUACCGCCCAAAACGACAUCGGUCACCCACUAAGUCUACAGAAGGGAGCAAGGAUAGAAGGAAAAGCAGGAAGUACACUCUACCGCUAUCAUCCACUACACUAUCAUGCUCUACACUAACCAACUGUAGGAAAUGUCAAAUCUGACCCAAUCCAAAUCGGGACUGUAAGCAUACCCGUCCCCGGGACUGUGAAUACACCCGUCCCUGCCCCGUUACGACUAUCGGGCUCUAUCCACUCUAACUGGUCCGUGGAGAGCAAGUCCAACUGGUAUGAGCGACACCAACGCAAAAGCACAAGCCUGACUCCGGAGUGGCACUCGAGGGCGCUACCCAACCGAGUAUGCAGCGUAUCUCUGUCGAGCUCAAACAGGCUCUGGAAAGCCAAAGUCAAGAAACCGACUCUAAACUGGUCUAACAACCAAGAGGUAACGUGCCCUCAGCACAAUCUGACGCCAAAAAGGCGAUACGGGUCCACCGUCAACUCUGACGGCACCCAACAGUCCGAAAUAACGUGAACGACCCGGUAAAAAAUCCACUCGGCGAACCAGCACGAGUGUAAUAUAUCUAAACUACCUGGAGUAUCGUCUCGACAGUACUGCGACAGUAAAUUUCUAACGGCUCCUAGAGCUAAAUCAGGCAGUUAACGGUGACAGUCAAGUAACCAGCACGAGUGUAAAUAUAUUCUAAACUACCUGGAGUACUCGUCUCGACAAUACUGCGACAGUAUAAUUUUCUAACGGCUCCUAGAGCUAAAUCAGGCAGUUUAUACAGGUUACAGGUCCAAAUCGCAGGUUUUCUCCUAAUUCAAUUUCCAAGUCCAACAUGUAUAAUCUACUUAAUUUAAAAACAUGCUCCAAAAUUCAGAUUUCACAAUCUACAUAUAGUCCAUGAAUUUGAGCUAAAAAUUAAUUACCGAAAUCAAGAUCUAUACGUGUCGACCAAUAAGAACUUAGGAGUAAAGCCGAUGUAACCCACCUAAAAAGCUAAUCCCUGGCAGCGAGGGACUCCUCCUGGUGUAGAGCAACCUGCUGGAUCACCCGGAACCCGCCGAGUACAGAAAUCGCCUAAGCUCAAGCUCUACGCAACAAAAUUCACCAAUUCAGUCCAGAAAUUUCAGCGGUGAGGUACAACAGGGAUUCGACCAAGCUAACCUUCACCAAAUCCAGCAAGUAAGGGCUUCGUGGAUUCCUCUCGAAGUCCUGAAUCCAACAAGCCAAGUCUCGUCGCAAUCCGAUGCUCCUACGUCGAGAACGAGCCAAAAUACCGACAGUCGACGAAGAAAUCUGCAGCAGUGGCACCCGAGCCCGAAAAUGAUGAAAUUGAAGUACUUGGAGGGAUGCCCACAGGUAAAAAUACGACAACCAGUACCUUGAAGCAGCACGACGUCAAAGAUGGCGAAAAAAAUAACUCGCCCGACCUCCUCGCAGCAACACGACGACGGAAGUAUGCUCGAACGGCUCCGCGGCGCGACGUUGGCGACGAAUCCGAGCUCCCUCUUGCCUUCAACCGGAUGAGGGAGUUAGAGAGAUGGAUAAAAGCAGCUAGAAGACCUCUCUCACUCUCUCUACACGAAGCUAUAUAGAGGGGAGUGAGGGGUGAUACAAACGAGGGAUAAAAUUACACAUUUAGCCCUCUACCUACCCUCUUGUACCGGUACACGGGCUCCUGUACCGGUACAAGAGCCAACCCGAGAGCAGCUAAAUUCGGUGCGCGCAUCCUGUACCGGUACAGCAACCCCUUGUACCGGUACAACAAGCAGUCCUGCGAUGGUUGUACCGGUACAGCCUGCCCUUGUACCGGUACAGCGAGCAGAAAAUCCUGCUGUUUCGCAGAUUCUCUCGCAGAAUGCUGCCCUCGCGUCGCACGGAGUCCGUUUUGCGCCUAUUUGACGCCAACGCGACUCGGACCUGUCCCGACACUCUCCAGAGCUGUCGACAAGCCUCCAGUCAAACACCAGGGAUCUCACAUUGCCAUCCCGAUGUCGAUAGUGCGAUGAAGGUGUGUAUGGGGUAGAAAUUUGUUUCUUGCUUCUUUCAUUAUUGUUAUGUGUGAUUUAUUUACCAAAAUUAUAAAUUUUGCUAUAUCUAUACCUAUAUCUGUUUUAUAUUUUAUAUUUGUAUUUAUUGAAGUCUCAUAUCAAAUCAAAAAAUUUAAAGUUUUUAUUUUACUUACAUUUUAUCUUUUAUAGUAUCAGUACGCCGCAAUGCGCGGGUAACUUCACUAGGAUAACAUUAGACAUUCAUGCCAUACCAUAUCAAUAUCUGGAUAAAAAAAAUACAAAUUGCAAUAGUUAAAGACAACAAUACAUUCUCUAAAUAUCUAAUACAAUCUCUAGAGUUUAUAUACCAUUGGAUGAAGAUCCAAUGAAUAAAAACUAUUAGACAUUUUAUAUAUUAUUUAAAUAAAUAAAUAAUAUAUGUAAAAUUUAUUCGAGUUCUAAUUCGGGUUCGGGUUCGUGUUCGGAUUCCGGUUCGGAUUUGGGUCGGAUAUAUACAAAAUCCAUAUCCGUAUCCAUAUCCGUCGAAUUUUUAUUUUCUAUACCCAUAAUCAAAUCUAUGUCCGUUUAGCUCGAAUAAAUCCGUUCUGUUUGGGUUCGGGUUCGGGUUCGGGUUCAGAUUCAAAUAAUAUUUCAGAUAUUCAUAUACAUCGACAUCCCUAAGUGGGAACGCGUAGUUCAAUCAUUUAUUAACUUUUUGAAAAACGCAAACAUCGCAGAAUAGUUCAGAGGAAAACAAAAUAAGUAAUUGAAAAUAAUACCCAAAGGCCCAGCUUAUCCUUAUUCUCUUGUUAGUGUCAGCACCUAAAUCAGUAAGGAUUUUGUCAUCAUGUAUUUGGUGUAAUAUUGUUUUACAUAUAUAAAGUUGUCAUUGCGUUACUUGAUGUUCUUCCUACUUUGGAUUCUGCAUUGCAUUCACACUAGCUAGCUUACUUUAUUGAAUUUUAAUAACUUAUACGUACUUCACUUCUAAAUCUUUAAUUAUUGGAAAAAUUGUAUAGAGACCUUAUGAACUUUGGCUCUUUAGCGAAGGGGCGCCCGAACUUUCAAUUUUUGUAAAAUACUUUCUAAAUUUUAUCAAAUAAUACAAUAGAUCCCUCUUUCUAAAUGAACUUAUUAAUUAUACAGCCUUUCUGAUAAGAUGUGUUGCACAUAAUUUUGUAAGACUUCAAAAUAUAAACUAGAAAAUUUUAUUUUUUCUCUUCUAAUUUUAAUAAUUAAGUAUAAUGAUCGAAGAAUAAAUUGAACCGAACUUCAAUGUUUCUCCACCAGCUUGCGGCUGACAUAGACAAACUAGGUAGCUUGCAUACUGGUGGACCAUUUGCGGGAGUAGGGGCUGGGCAUGAGGCAGGCGUAGCCUUGAUCGGACUUAUAAGUCGGUCGGUAUGAUUGGAUUAUACAAUAUUAUUUUAUCCAAUAUCUAGUUGAUGCAUGUAACAUAACUUACAGCUUUUAGUAGUAUCAUAGAGGUAUGAUAGUGAUAAUUUUCUUUUAGUAGUUACAUCCUAUUAUUCAUAUAGCCUUUUUUAUUAUUUUAGCCUCUAAUAUACCUAGUGAUGUAAAUCGUCAUUGCAUAAUUGCACUCUUAUGUAAAUCGUCAUUGCACUCUUAUGUCAACCCUUUUUUUUUAAUAUAAUAUUAAAAAUUAUUGUCUCAUGCAUAAAUACCUCAUUUGAUAUAUUCCUUUAAUUUACUUUAAAAAAUUGUAUAUUUGGUAGAUAAGGAUUGUGAUCAAAUAAUCAGAAUAGAAUAUUAUAUUUAGCCUUUAAGUUAUUUUUUCGGAAUAAGAUAAAUCACUUCGUAGAUAAAAUAUAUUGUACUAUUCUAUAAAAUCAUAAAUAACAUGAUCUUUGAAGAUGCAAAAGAAAUUAAACUUAAAAUUAUUAUGAGAAUUUUAUAGUAUGAUUGUAGGUAAGGAGUUUGAUUUUUGUUUCUUCAAAGAUUUACUUUUCAUAAUUUAAUAAAAUAGUAUAUUUUGCCAACCAGAUAAGUUAUUUAAUUCUUAAAAAAUAAUUUAAAGUUCGAAUAUAAUAUCUCAUUCUACAUAUUUAAUCACACCCUCCUUAUUAAUGAAAUAUAUAAAUUUUAUAAAUAAAUAAAAAAAUAUACCAGAUAAGUCAUUUGUGUAUCUAAAUAGAAUCUAAAAAUUUUUAAAUUCUCUAAAUAAAAAGUGUACCUCUUUGCAUAAUUGCAGAGCCAACGCAGUAUAAGAUGCAGGUAGGCGUUAUUGUUCAGUAAUAAAAAGGAUGGCGACGGCGCUUGAAAAGGCGUGCAAUGCCCGCCACGAGGCGCGAGAUGAGCUGCGUCGUUACCGCCCUUCCCCCACCUCCAAGAGGAAUUCUAUAUUGUCACACUUGUACCACGACAUCAAUAACAAGUUGAUAUAUAUAUAUAUAUAUAUAUAUAUAUAUAUUUAAAUAAAAAUAUAAUAAAAAUAUUUUUUUUAUAAUCAUGAUAAUACAUAUAUCUUUAAAAAGAGAUUUUUGAUUAAUUUAUUAUGCCACGCCGCCAAUAUAUCUGUUGUAUUUUAAAAUUUUUUCUAAUCCGGCUCACAUUUAUGACUACAGUGUCCGCCCCUUCUUACCCCAUUUUGUGUGUGUCUCUCUCUCUUUCUCACAGCAUAGCAAGAUUAAAAUAAAACUCCGGUGAAAAUGUGGAGAGCUUGUCUGAACCAAUGCUCCGUUUUUACUCUAAGCAUCGUUUGGUUCGGGUAUAAAUAAAAACUAUUUAUUCAAAAAAUAAAUAUAAAUUUAGAUAUAAGUAAGAAUUAAACCAAUAUUACGUUUAGAUAAAAAUUAGAUUGUUCCAGAAAAUAAGUAAAAUAGUGUUUGGAUAGAUAUAAUAAAAUAAAAAAAUAGUGUGUACUUAUAAAUAAAAAAUAAUGAUAUUACCAAUCUCAUUAUAUUUAAAUUUAAAAUUUAAAAUUAUAUAUUUACAUUUUAAAUCUUAAAAUUUAACUUUUAAAUUUUAAAAUCCAAAAUUAAAAUUAAAAAUUUAAAAUCUUUAAAUUUUAAACUUUAAAAUUUAAAAUCUCAAAUUUUAAAUUUGAGAUCAAAUUUAAAUUUGAAAAAUGAAAAUAUCAAAAUUUAAGUAUGAAAAAUUAAAAAUAUUAAAUUUAAAAUUUAGAAUUUAAAAUUUAAAAUUAUAAACUUUAAAUUUGAGAUUACAAAUUAUAAACUUUUAAAAUUUAAAAUUUUAAUUUUAAUUUUGAAAAUUUUAAAAGAAAUUAAAUUGGGGUGGGAAUAGCUGUUCCCACCCCUAUUCCACCUAAAGGUUGAAAGGAUAACCUGCCGAGGCCGGAAACACGCUAUUCUCACCCUUAACAUUAGUGUUUGGGGAACAAGGUAGGGAUAAACCCUUAUCCCUACCCUUAUUUCCCAACCAAACGAUAGCUAAUUGAAUAAAAGAAUUGCCCAAAAGCAUAGGCCAUAGUUAUUUUGAUAGAAUGCUAUAUGCACAAUUCCGUAAAAUUUUAAAGGCUAAAUUAUAAAAAACCUCUAUCAAUAUUCGUUUUUUCACUUUUCUCCCUUUACUUUUGAAAAUCUAUAUUUUGCCUCCUUAAAAAUUGAAAAAUAUUCACUUCGGCCCCCACCAUCAGUGUUUCGUAUUAGGGUUCUGUUUAUAUCCUAUUAUUAUAUAUUUUUUAUACUCAAAAUACCCUCGGACCCCUCCCCUCAACAGUAUCGCCUCCUUUCUCGCUGCCCACGCCGCCUUGCCCUCCUUCACCGCCUUAUACUCGCCCACUCCUCCGUCCGCGCCGACACACACGCCCUCGCCCUCCUCCGCCGCCUCGGGCUCACCCUCGCCCUCGCCUACCUCUUCGUCCACGCCCAUCCCGAUCUUCUCCCUAUCAUCGCCGAAAUGGAGGGGCAAUAAGGGUGCAAAAGGAGCGGGGGAGCAGGUGGAGGAAAUGGAGUUGCAGCUAGUCAAGCGAGACGCAAAGAACGAAAGAGGGGAGGCGGCUGAUGAGCAAGAUUCGGGAGGAGACGAAGAGGGUGAGAGGUAAUUUGUUUAUUUUGUCAUCACAACAUUUUUCACUUUUUGAGAGGGCAAAAUGUAGGUUUCUAAAUGAUAGGGGAGGAAAGUUGUCAUGCCCCAGAUUGCACGUUCCCCGAGUUCGCCAACAGAUCCGCCUUAUACAUAGGGAUUUCCUAUGUAUAUGAAGCGAUAGUCACUUGCAAAACAUGCACAACCACAAGAAAAUACAGAGCUGCUAAAAACUGAAAUACAGUAAUAUAUAUCUGGAGUUAACUGUACAUACAAAAUGCCAAAAUUAUAACCCAAAAUACAACAUCAGUGGGUACAGGGUCCGCAAACCAAAAGAAAAAUAGCUGUAUGUACAAGCUACUCACCAAAAGCACUAACUCCAGAAGGGUCCUCCUUUAGUACACGUCCAGGGUAGACAGGAAUCUAACUCGCGACUCCCUUACCUCGGUCAAAAGCAGCAGCGGCACUCAAGGGCUAUGCAAAAGGAAGCAACAAUGGGUGUGAGAACUACUAUAAAACAAGUAGUUCCCAGUGGGUACCGUCACCGACCCCGACGGUGUACCCACUAAGUCAACGAGACUAACAAUAUAGCUGUUAGGUAAAAGAAAUAAUAAGAUCAGCUGGAGGAAUUACUUUACAGCUAAAAUGCCACUAUACUACCACUAUCCAAGUCAUACUCUCGAUAUACAUAUGCAUCACUAGUUACAAAGUAACCAUCGCUGACCCAAUCCACAGGAACUGCAAUACGCUCGUCCUUCCUGUCUAAGCUACACCGUAUGCUAUCCCGAUGGCAGUCGGUGCAGAGCGAAAGUCCAACCGGGACUACUACGACAUCAAUGGAAGGUAGCCAGGCUUCGGAGGGGCACUUGUGGGCGCGACCUAACCGAGUAUGCAAGCGUGUCUCUGUAGAGCUCAAUCAGGCUUAUAAUCUAUAGUCAAUACAAAUGGGUCAAAUCAGUUUAACAACCAAGGCUCACGUGCCCUAUGCACAAUCUGAUGCAAGAAGAAACGAUCUGGGUCCACCGUCAGCCCUAACGGCACCCGACAGUAUGAAACAGUCUAAACUCUACUGUAAAAGUAAGCUCACAAGCUAUAACCAACAUAAAUAGGUCGAGCUAGUCUAACCAUCAACGCUCACGUGCCCUCAGCAUAAUCUGAUGUAAGAAAUAAAGAUCUGUUACCGUCAAUCCCGACGGUAUCCGACAGCACGAAACAGUCUAGCUCUGCUGUAAUAAUCCACUUGGCAUCCCAGCACAAGCGUAAACUCGUCUUACACUAAUUUGAGUAACCACCUCACACUAACAGCAGCGAUACAACAAUAAAAACGGCUCCUGGAGCUAAAUUUGAUAACAUUUUCGAAAAGUAAUAGGUGUAGAUGAAACGAGUUUUCUCUUAAGUCAAAUUCCAGUUCACCAUGUACUACAUGUCUAAAAUCAUUAAAUUAUACUUCAAAUUCAAAUUCCAUAUGAAAACAUGCAAAUUCAUGAAUUUGAGCUACUAACAUGAAAAUACGAUGUAAAUAAGUACGCUGAAAUUCUCUACGACUUAGAAGGAAUUCCGAAGACUUUGGUAAAUAUCAACCCACCUUAAACACUAGUCCAACAAUGGUUGGAAGUUGAUAGGAGAAGUCUCGCACAAAACCAGUCUCAACCGAAAUCAAACUAGCUGAAAAACAGGAUUCAGACUUAUCCUGGACCAGCUCUGGGCACCUAGAUCCUGAGCCCAGAACUAGAGCCUGAUAGUUGCAACCUAUAAGAGUUCAAAAUGGAAUUUAACCAAAAUUUCAAGUCCAAAUGUAGUGAAACUUCACCCAACUCACCUGUAGAUGCUCAAGAAUAAUUCCCCAGCUUUCUGACAAAAAUUGAGCUCAAUUUGAUCACUAAAAGGCCGUCAAGCCAGAUUCGGAUCCACUUCUGGGUGCCUAGAUUCUGCAUCCAGAACUUCAGCAUUUCAACCCUUUAUGCAAUUUAGCUCAAAUCUGGGAAUUCCAACUUAUAAAACCAGUGGAGUAGGGUCAAAAACCUCCCAAAUAGAGUGAGUAAUCAAUCCAAAUCCAUCAAUAAAUUCUCCAUCAAAAUCUAAGAAAUCUAUAAAAACACCUAAAAUCAGCAUACAAGCUUAAUUAUCCAAAUCUGAGCUAGAACUCACCUCUCAAUUCUCAAAUUUAGGAGGAGAAAGCUUCUAACCAAGCAAAGGAUGAAAACCAACUCUCACAUCAAAAUCCAGCUCCAAAGAGAUUUGGAUCCAUAAAAACCAAGAAAAUCUCAAUUUCAGCUCAAGAACACUAAAAGUUCAGUAAAAACGGCAAUUCAAGCUUACAUACCUAAUCAAAUUGCUGCUGGAAAGAUUCAACACACUCCCCCACGAGUCCACAAUUCUCCAAACCAAGUUUUACAGAAUUUGGACGCUCCUAGGCUGCACACGAGCUAAAUCUCCACAGGUUGCUGCUGAAAUCCUGCUGAAUUCCCAAGUCCUCAAGGGUGAAAUGGUGGAAUUUAAGGGAUUUAGGAGGAAUUUGGUGAGAAAAAUUUAGUUGAAGGAGAGGGAGAGUGAAAAGAGUUCCCAUGGAACGUCCAUCUCUUUUUAUAGAAGCCUAGGUUAGAUACAAUGAGCCACAGGAACAAAAAAUCUAAUCCUGUUACUCUGCAGAAAUUUCUUAAUUCCGGCGCCCUAAACCAAGAACUGGGCGCCCUAAUCUUCAGGCCUGCACUAACCAGCAAUUCGGGCUCACAUUCUCGUGCGGUAUGGUGCACCCUAAACCUGAUCCGGUGGAUCUCACCCACCAUCCACCACGUGUCAACACAUUCGAUAUUCACGAAGUGAACUUUCGGGUCCAACUUUCGGGCGCCCUAAACUGGAUCCGGAAGGACUCAGUAAUACAUGUAAAAAAGCACUCAAGAACUGGGCGCCCUAAACCUAAUCUGGGCGCUCGAAACUUGCCAAAACUUCAAUUUUGACUUAUUUCAGUGCUCUGAGUCCAUUUUUGCGUCCAUUUCACGCCAAAACAAUUCCGACUCGUUCUGACACUCUAUAGUCAUUUCGCAAGUCAGGCCCCAGGGAUACUACAAAAGUGAAAAAUCAAAUUUUGACGAAAAGUUUUUCUGUAAUUUAACCAAUUUUAAAAUACAAAAAGAUUUAUGUUUGCCCUUCCAAUUUAUUGAUAAUUAAGCAGGACAAUCGAGGAAUAGGUCGAACCAAACUUUAAUUUUUAUUUAUUUGUUAUGUUUGAAUAUAAAAAAUAAAAGCUUUUGUAUUUUAAAGUUUUAUAAAAUUGUAUACAAUAUAUAUAUAUAUAUAUAUGCCUAAAGCCUAAAAAUGAGUGUAUAAUUCAUCAUUUCAAUUGAAGGAAGAGGUCUAUUGAAUUAUUUGAUAAAGUAGUUUAAAUAAUCUAAUUGGCAAAAUUAAAAGUUCAAAUAAAAAUUUGAAAAUCUAAAUGACGAUGUACAAACAAAGUAAGACCCCAUUGAGUAUUGUUGCCAUUGUUUUUAUUAUUUUUUUAAAUAAUGUUUUUAUGUAAAGUAGUAUAGAUGGGGAUGAUGAAUCACGAGAAUCCUUACAUUUUUUUUAGAAUAUUUAUUUGACAAAAAAAAUGGAAGAUAAUUUUUUUUUUGUUUCUAAAAUUUUUAUUAAAUAAGUUGUCAUUAUUUGGAAUCUAAUACAAGGUAACUAAAUAUAUGGUUGCAAAUGGAUUCGGGUUGGUGGAGCUCCUGCCCGAUCUACCCUAAAUGGGGCAAUAAGUGGGAACAAAAAAUAUAGAAAAAUAUAACCCGUCCCGAAUUUCUCCCAAUCUGUCAAAUAAAUGGAAGGGAAGACGGGAGACCCCUUUCUUCCUUCGAUCUGUCCUAAUCUGUCAAAAAUCCGCAAAAAAUCUGCUCCCGCCCCAAUUCGCCCUGAAUAAAGCGGUAAAUGAGAGCCAAAAAUAAAAUAAAAAAUAACUCGCUCCGAAUCUGCUUCGACCUUACAAGAAAUGGCGCGGGAUGUGAAGAAACCCUCCUGCCCCUGGAUCCGUUCCGUUUGCAUCCCUAACUAAAUAUGACAAAAUAAUUUAUUUUGUCAAUAACUUAAAUUUUAUAUAUAUAUAUAUAUAUAUAUAUAUNUAUAUAUAUAUAUAUAUAUAUAGUCCAGCUAUGGUGUUUGUAAAAGCACCAAGCACUUAUGCUUGUAAGUUUUUAACCGUUAAAUCUACUCCUCGGAUCAUUUUCAACAAUUAGAUUAUACUAUUCAACCAACCACCCACUCAACCCUAAGGGGCCCACAUCAUCCUAACCGCAUAUCUCUUAAUCCAAUGGCUAAAAAUCUACAAACACCAAUAACUUGGUACUUUUAAAAGCAUAGGAGCUCAAUUCUAUAUAUAUAUAUAUAUAUAUAUAUAGAGAGAGAGAGAGAGAGAGAGAGAGAGAGAGAGAGAGAGUCCGGCUACUAUAAUAUUAUGAGUAUGAUCGCCCUCGAUGAUAGAGCUUCUGAAUCGACGAUCCACACCGUUAAACGUUAUCUAGAGCAUUUGAAAUAUUUAGAAAUCAAAUUUCAUAAUUUUUCGACAUCAUUUACCUUACGAUCAAAAGCUUACAAAAUUGACAAUUUUUAACGACCGGUAUGGAAUACUUGCUAGUUUAACGGUGCAAAAGAAUCCGAAUAGGUUGAAUUUUUUAUAGAAAAUUCUAUUCACUAUCUAGAUAAAGAUCAAUAACUCCGAUCUUAAUAUAUAUAUAUAGAGAGAGAGAGAGAGAGAGAGAGAAAGAGAGAGAGAGAGAGAGAAAGAGAGAGAGAGAGAGAGAAAGAGAGAGUAGGGCUACUACUCUUAUGAGUAUUGGACCCUUCGUACUCAUAAGUUCUUCUCGAUGUUGGGGCUUCCGAAUUAACGAUCCACACCGUUAAAUAUGAUCUAGAGUAUUUGAAACUUCUUAGAAAAUAAAUUUCGUAAUUUUUCGAAAUCAUAAUAAAGUUUAUCAAACGACAUAAAAUGAAUGGUCAAAAUCAAACGGCGUCCUAAACAUGGAUGAUCGGAUCCUUCAAUUUAAGAUCAGAGUUAUUGAUCUUUAUCUAGGUAGUAAAUAGAAUUUUCUAUUAAAAAUUCAAUAUAUUCCAAUUCUUUUACACCGUUAAACUAGCGAGUAUCCCAUACCGGCCGUUAAAAAUUGUCAAUUUUGUGAGCUUCUGAUCGUAAGGUAAAUGAUGUCGAAAAAUUAUGAAAUUUGAUUUCUACAAGUUUUAAAUGCUCUAGAUAACGUUUAACGGUAUGGAUCGUCGAUUCGGAAGCUCUAUCAUCGAAAAGGACUUAUGAGUACGAGGGCGAUCGUAGUCAUAGGAGUAUAGUAGCCGGACUCUAUAUAUAUAUAUAUCCCUUUUGUACUUAUAAGUUUCUAGCCGUUAGAUCUACUUCUUUGAUCAUUUCUACCCGUUAGAUCAUAUUAUUCAACCAACCACCCGCUCAGCCCUAGGGGAACGCUAUUAACCUAACCGGGGACCACUAUCAUCCUAACCGCACAUCUUUUCAUCCAAUGGUCGAAAACUUACGAGUAUGAAGGGCUCUAUACUCAUAAGAGUAUUGUAGCCCUAGCCUAUAUAUAGGCUAGGGCUACAAUACUCUUAUGAGUAUAGAGCCCUUCAUACUCGUAAGUUUUCGACCAUUGGAUGAAAAGAUGUGCGGUUAGGAUGAUAGUGGUCCCCGGUUAGGUUAAUAGCGUUCCCCUAGGGCUGAGCGGGUGGUUGGUUGAAUAAUAUGAUCUAACGGGUAGAAAUGAUCAAAGAAGUAGAUCUAACGGCUAGAAACUUAUAAGUACAAAAGGGAUAUAUAUAUAUAUAGAGUCCGGCUACUAUACUCCUAUGACUACGAUCGCCCUCGUACUCAUAAGUCCUUUUCGAUGAUAGAGCUUCCGAAUCGACGAUCCAUACCGUUAAACGUUAUCUAGAGCAUUUAAAACUUGUAGAAAUCAAAUUUCAUAAUUUUUCGACAUCAUUUACCUUACGAUCAGAAGCUCACAAAAUUGACAAUUUUUAACGGCCGGUAUGGGAUACUCGCUAGUUUAACGGUGUAAAAGAAUUGGAAUAUAUUGAAUUUUUAAUAGAAAAUUCUAUUUACUACCUAGAUAAAGAUCAAUAACUCUGAUCUUAAAUUGAAGGAUCCGAUCAUCCAUGUUUAGGACGCCGUUUGAUUUUGACCAUUCAUUUUAUGUCGUUUGAUAAACUUUAUUAUGAUUUCGAAAAAUUACGAAAUUUAUUUUCUAAGAAGUUUCAAAUACUCUAGAUCAUAUUUAACGGUGUGGAUCGUUAAUUCGGAAGCCCCAACAUCGAGAAGAACUUAUGAGUACGAAGGGUCCAAUACUCAUAAGAGUAGUAGCCCUACUCUCUCUUUCUCUCUCUCUCUCUCUCUUUCUCUCUCUCUCUCUCUCUUUCUCUCUCUCUCUCUCUCUCUCUCUAUAUAUAUAUAUUAAGAUCGGAGUUAUUGAUCUUUAUCUAGAUAGUGAAUAGAAUUUUCUAUAAAAAAUUCAACCUAUUCGGAUUCUUUUGCACCGUUAAACUAGCAAGUAUUCCAUACCGGUCGUUAAAAAUUGUCAAUUUUGUAAGCUUUUGAUCGUAAGGUAAAUGAUGUCGAAAAAUUAUGAAAUUUGAUUUCUAAAUAUUUCAAAUGCUCUAGAUAACGUUUAACGGUGUGGAUCGUCGAUUCAGAAGCUCUAUCAUCGAGGGCGAUCAUACUCAUAAUAUUAUAGUAGCCGGACUCUCUCUCUCUCUCUCUCUCUCUCUCUCUCUCUCUCUCUAUAUAUAUAUAUAUAUAUAUAUAUAGAAUGUGAGCUUCUAUGCUUUUAAAAGGUUACCAAGUUAGUUGGUGCUUUGUAGAUUUUUAGCCAUUUGAUUAAGAGAUAUGCGUUUAGGAUGAUGUGGGCCCCUAGGAUUGAGUGGGUGUGGUUGGUUGAAUUGUAUAAGUCUAAUGUUGAAAAUGAUCCGAGGGAGUAGAUUUAACGGUUUAAAACCUUACCAAGCAUAGAGUGGCUUGGUUGCUUUUACAGAAACCCAUGCUGGACUCAUAUAUAUAUAUACUAUAAUAGAUAUAUACUAUAGUAUGUAUAUUAUAUAUUAUCAUAUUAGUAUAUAUAUAUAAUGGCCAAUUUGCAGAUAGAAAAUUUACUAAUUUUUGAGAUUUUGUAAAAUAGGCUUUUUUUGGAUUUUGCAGAUUCGGACCGAUUUAGAAAACUGACAAAAAUACCCUUAUUCUCUUUUUCUCUCUUUUGUUUCUCUCGUUUUUUUUUUUUCCUCUCUCCGACCCUUAUCGCCUUAUUCACCAAGGCGACGACAACGAGGGCGGCGUCACCUCCUCUUCCACCGCCUAUGCCGUCACCGGCAUAACGAGAGCAGUGCUGCCUCCUCUUUGUCUACCUCCCCUUCCGCCGCCGCUGUCUCCCCCUAUGCCGGCGUCAGCAUCGACGCUGGUGCCGAAGGAAGAGAACUCGAAAUGGGUGCGGGUGAGGGCGGAGCGGACAGAGGCAAUAAAGUCGUGGCGGAGGAGGUGCUCGCCGCCCGUGACGGCGAAGGAAAAUGUCCAAAGAGCGAAAAAUAUACAAAGGGUAGGAAAAAAAAAAUAAAAAUAAAAAGUAAAAAAAAAUAAAGAAAAAAAUUUCUUCUUGAAAGACCAUUAUGUAUCUUUAUAUCGUUGCUGUUGCACGAAAGGCCAAGAAUCAAACAAGAAGAAAGAAGAAGAUGAAGGUUGCACUAUUAAAAUAAAGUUUGCACUAUUUCGCAAGAAAAUUACACUGAUGAAUGUUGCACUCUUUGAGGUGAAGAUUGCACUCUUUGAAACGAAAGUUGCACUGUUUUGACAAAAAUUACACUGUUUCGGAGAAAAUUGCACUCAUGAUGACAAUCUUCAGCACUUCCGCUGCACCUCUGCUCUCCUUAGGCUUCUCCUCCACUACUAAUUUUGAGAUUUUUCGAGGCGAAGGCGGAAGCGGAGGCGGAGGCGGAGAGGGAGGUAGACGAAGAGGAGGCAGCGCUGCUCUCGUUAUGCCGGCGACGGCAGAGACGAAGGCGGAGGCGGAGGGAGAGGAGACAUCACCACCCUCGUUGCCGUCGCCAAGGAACGCGUAGGCGGUAAAGGAGACGAUAAGGGUCGGAGAGAGGAAAAAAAAAAGCGAAAAAAAAGAGAGAGAAAAAAGAAUAAUAUUAUUUUGAUCAGUUUCCUAAAAAUUUGAUUCGAAUCUAUAAAAUUCAAAAAGACGACCAAUUUUUAUAAAAUUUUAAAAUUAGUGAGUUUUUUAUGCAAAUUGGCCAUAUAAAAUUUAGGUUUUUUUUUUUUUUUAAAAAAAAAAGACGAUGAUGGCAAACUGCGUCAAAAAGUUUAGGUGGUUGUAAUUUGUUUUUACAAUGUUGUUUAAUAGUCAGAGUAUGCUGCAGAGGGACCCAGAUUUAAAACGCGAGGGAAGAAUCUGCGAGCGGCCGCACGGAGUCGGCGGGCAUCCGACGAAGGAGACGCGCGCGCGCACACCGACGCAAAUACCCCUCGCCUAUUCUUGAUAGCUCAGGCAGGUCCCCCCACUCCCUACUACAGUACUACUCCUUCCUUCUAUUAGUAUCUUUUAUUAUUCGUGUUCAGUUCUCCUAUUCAAUUUGUAUGCGACCACCCCUUCCGCCGGUGCUCCCAUAAUUUUAAUUUUAAUUCUAUUCUAUCUAUCUAUCUAUGGGACAACUCAGUUUUGUUGUAUAAAUAAUAGGGGGAGGGGAGCUGCACACAAUUGCAAAAGAACCGGAGAAAGAGAGAGAGAGAGAGAGAGAGAGAGGAAGAGCGAGUGCGAAUUUUGAAGGGAACAAAUAAGAAAGAGAGGGGGGAAUUUUGAAGGGACCAGAUAAGAAAGAAAGGAAAUUCGCCCCUCCCUCCCUCCCUCUCCUCUCCUCCUCUCAUCCUCUUCAAAAUCUAUUUGUGUUAGAGAGAGAGAGAGAGAGAGAGAGAGAGAGAGAGAGUAGGCUGGUGAGUGAAUAAUUCUGAAGCUGGUAGGAAUUUGGGAGCGAUAAAAUUUCGUCACCCAACUGCCCGAGUGAGUGUUCUGUUUUACGUUUUUAAUUUAUUCGUCCCUAAGCUAACUAUCUCUUUGUUUUCUCCGAGGGUGGGUUUGUCUGUUUGCUUUUCUAAAAAAAAAGAUUUUUUGAGGGUUCACCAUGAAUUCAGGUUUUCUUGAAUCUCCUCGCUUUUUUUCUUUUUCUUUUUCUUUUUGUUUAUUGUUUUAUCUUUUUUUAAAAAAAUUAUUAUUAUUGCUUUUUUUUUUUAGCACUGUAUAACAACUAGUAAGUAUUUUCAUGUCCUCCCAUUUAUGGAAGCUCAGUUUAAUUCCAUCCCUCCUUGUUUUUUUUGUUAAUUCUUGUUUUGAAAAUAUAAUUGAAGAGAAUCAACAUUUUUUACACACUUGUGAUCGCCCCCCUCUCUCUAAACCUUGCUCUCGGUGAUCCAAUUAUUAGAGGUAAUUCUUUUAAAACAAAAUUUCUUUUUCUAUUGUCGUCUACUCUCUUUUCUUUGAAGGGAAAGAAGAUGAAAAGCUUCUUACUUGAAAAUCUAAACUCUGUGUGUGUGUGUUUUUUUUUUUUUUUGGUUUCGGUUUUUACAUGUUGAUUCUCUCUCUCUCUUCCCUCUUUCUUUGGGUUUAUAUUUGUGGACUUUCAACGGCCUCCUGUGAUUCCUUGCUACUUAAUUUCUAGAUUCUUCUCCUUAAUUUUCCAAUUCACCCAUCUUUUUCUUUAUUGACUUAUGUAUUUUCUUCAGAAAUCGUUGUUUUUUUUUUACCAUCUCCUUUCUGACAGGAGAAUUAGGUGAGGGACUAGUAAGAAGACUGCGGAAUUGCUUUCUUUUUUGGCAUUUUGUUUUUCUUUCUGUGAUGUCAUUUGUAUACUUUCAAUUAAUGGGCCCCUACGCUUGAGUCUAUCCAAUUCAUUCCUUUCCUCUCCAGGGUGAUAAUUAUCGCCCGUAUGCACGCGGUGUAUGCUUAACAUCUCAUAUCCAUCCCAUACUCGAUUUUUGAUGAUUGAUGUUGUAGAAUUACAACAUCCAAAGAUUCUACGUUUCGAAAGCCCAAAAUUUUGAAAAUCUGUUAUUUAGGCUAGGCAUCAAACAGUUCCAGAAUUCAAAAGUACAGUAAGAGAGAGAGAGAGAGAGAGAGUGUGUAUAGUUCGGAGGAAACAGACAGGUCAAAACUUGCAGGUUUUUGCUAUGUAGGUCUCUUGAGUGUCAUAUAAAUUAAAAUUUGAUUUUCGCUAUGGUAGGCCUUUAAGCGGUCUUGUGAUGCUUGUUAGUUCGCAUGCUCAGCUUCCAACAGAUUUUUGCGAGUUUUGCUGGAACGGAAAAUGCACUCUGGAAUGAUUUUGCAAAAAAUUAGACGAGUUCAGUGUCUAUUAAUGUCAAAUUCUAACUAAUUUGUUGAAAGUUGGGGGACCACCUGUAUAUAUUUUACUUACCCAAGCAAUACGUGGGCUGAGUUAGCACGGAUGGAAUCUCCCUUUCACUCAUUGAAAAGUAGUUUUAGUACCGAUUUCUAAGUAGUGUUUAUCCUGGCCCACCACCAGCACAGGCACAAUAAUUUUCAACAAUUCCUCCGUUCCCAUCUGGAAUCAAACUCAAGAUACCCAAGAUAUGGCUAAAUCCAUCUUUUAUCCAAAGAUACCACUAUUAUGACAAAGGGGUCAUCCUGCAUUGAAAAGUCUCCUCACCGCUUCAAUUUUUCCUUCCGUGCACUCUAUCGCACUUAGUUUUAGUUGCAGGUCCCGGCGAGCAGCGAGUCUAUUUGGUAUCGAAUCUUAUCCUUAUACAGUAGCAUUUUUUAUGCUGCUCUGAUCUGUUCUACAGCUCUCUGGAUAUUUUAUCUGAUUGUUGGUUUCUUAUUGAUCAGGCACAAAUAGAAUCUAUAGUAUUCUUGUACUUUUAUUGCUGUUGGUAUAGUUGGACUAUUUUGUUCUGGUGAUGGUGGUGGUGGUUUUUCUUUUAUAUUUUGCUUUAAUCUUUCAAAGUAUGCAUGUCAUCAUUUCUUCUUGUUUGAGAAGCCACCGUGACUUAACUUUUCGUGUUGUUUCUCUGUUGACGUAUUAUGAUGCACUUCUCUGCUAAUUAGCUUUUAUGUGUGCACUUCGUUGAUAUUUCAAGUACCUUUAGGCGCAUAGAUUUCUAGAAGAAAAGCCUUUUUGGCAUAUCUAAUCGACUGAAAUUAUGGGAGACGUUGUCGAAGAUAAGUAUACAAAAGAUGGUACGACUGAUAUCCGUGGAAACCCUGCUACCAGGAAGGACACCGGGAGAUGGAGGGCUUGCCCCUACAUUCUUGGUACGCUAAGAUUCCCACGUUCCCAUUCUUUCUAUACGUAAUUACCUUCUAUACGUCUUCCGAUAGCGUCCUCAAAUUACUAAUUCUUGAAUAAAUUAUUUAUUUAUCUUUCUUGAAGCAAAUGAAUGCUGUGAAAGAUUGGCCUAUUAUGGGAUGAGCACCAACCUGGUGAACUUCUUGAAGGAACAACUCAACCAAGGGAACAGCACUGCUGCAAACAAUGUCACCAACUGGUCCGGGACUUGCUAUAUAACUCCACUUCUUGGGGCUUUUCUAGCUGAUGCCUACUUUGGAAGAUUUUGGACCAUCGCCAGCUUCAUGAUAAUCUAUAUUUUUGUAAGAAAUCAAAGAACUCUUCUGCAAAGUAUUAUAUAUUAGGAGAGUUGCAUACAAGUGCAAUUGAGUACGUUUGUGUGCUUAUUCCUACAAAUUUAAGUUUGCCAUACACAUGCUGCAAAAUUUUAAAAAUUUACACAUAUAUCGCUCCCGCUCUAUGUAUCACGGACACUUCUAUAAGCCUCGUGUGUCCGUGUCGGACACGCGCGUGUCCGUGUCGAACACGUGCGUGUCCGAUGUGGACACUUCUUGGAUGAGCGUUUAAUGCCGAUCCAUAGCACAUACAACUAAAAAAAAUAUAUACCUAUUUUUAGUUUAUUUUUUCUAUACAUGUAUAAUGUAAGAUGAUAAAUAUUUUAGCUUUUUGAUAAUGCAUAUAUUUUUUUUGACAAUAUAAAUAAAUUAUGUAUGGUGGAGAAUUUUUUUCUUAAAAUAUAUGAACUAUGAAUGAAAAUUUUACUAACUUUCACUUGUAUGAGAAAUAUAAUAAUAUUUUAUCAAAAUUAAUAUUUUAUAUAUAAUAAAAAUAUAUUAUUAUAUUAAUAAUAUUAUAUUUUAUUAGCGGUGUCUAUGCCGUGUCUGUGUCCUAAUUUUUUAAAAGUUGCUGAGUCGCGGUGUCCGAGUCGUGUCGUGUCUUGUGUCCCAUGUUAGUGUCCGUGACACCUAGCUCCCGCUUGAGCUUUUCCCAAUUUUCAGUGGGUAUGUUGGUCACUUGAGGAAAAAAGGAAAAAAGAAGAAGAAGAAUAAGAAGAAAAUCAAAUUUACUACUCAAUUGACAUCUUCCAAACUAUAAGGUGUGCAUGUAUGCAAAAAUAUUAAAAUUUUAUGGUUCGAGUAUAUGAUAAACUAAAAUUGCAGGAACAAAAGUAUGCAGUUUUUACAAUUUAUAGGGUUUUAUUUCAGAUGCCCCAUUUGGUUAACCGUAUGAAACUUAACUUCUACUUCCUUUUGUUUACAGGGUUUGUCACUACUGACAAUGUCAGCUUCCAUCAAGGGGUUGAAACCCUCUUGCCACGACGAUGUUUGUAAUCCGACAGGUGCACAAAGCGCGGUGGUCUUUGUGGCGCUUUACCUAAUUGCAUUAGGGACCGGAGGAAUUAAGCCUUGUGUCUCUUCUUUCGGGGCUGACCAGUUUGACGAAUCAGAUGAACAGGAAAAGAAAAGCAAGAGCUCCUUCUUCAACUGGUUCUACUUUUCAAUUAACAUCGGUGCCUUAGUUGCUGCGUCUGUGUUGGUUUGGAUACAAACAAAUGUUGGUUGGGGUUGGGGUUUUGGGAUCCCUGCAGUGGUAAUGGCUGUUGCUGUUGUGUGUUUCUUCAUAGGAACUCCAUUAUAUAGACUUCAGAAACCAGGAGGAAGUCCACUUACACGAGUAGCUCAAGUUAUUGUGGCAUCGCUAAGGAAAUCAACAGUUAAGGUCCCUGAUGACAGGUCUCUGCUAUUUGAGAUUGCAGAUAAGGAGUCUGCUAUACAAGGAAGUCGGAAGCUCGAGCACACGGAUCAGUUCAAGUAGGUGUGCUGUAAUCUUUAUUCCCAUGAGAACCUACUUUUAUUAUCUUGCAAUAUGUUUCUAUGACGCAUGGAACUAAAAUUGAGCAAACGUAACGAAAAUAUAGCAUAUGUGCGUAUCAAAUUCAAAAGAGAAAUAUUCAGCGCAUUAAAUUAUCAUUAUGCAAUGUCUACACAAUAUGGGGAUGCAGUCUUUGCACAGCGGUCUGCUGACUGCUUCUGCCUGUGUGUGCGCACUACUUUUUAAAUCAGUACAAUACUAGCCAGAGCUCAUAUAUUUUAUUGCAGGUUCCUCGACAAGGCUUGUGUGGAGACCCAAGAGGAUAAGAACAAAGAUCUAGUAAACCCAUGGAGGCUUUGCACGGUCACGCAGGUUGAGGAGCUCAAGAGUGUCGUGCGCUUACUCCCCAUAUGGGCUAGUGGCAUCAUCUUCGCCACAGUCUACGGUCAGAUGAGUACUAUGUUCGUCCUCCAAGGCGACACCCUAGACACUCACAUGGGUCCACACUUCAAGAUCCCUCCUGCCUCCCUCUCCAUCUUCGACACCAUCAGCGUCAUCGUGUGGGUCCCGAUCUACGACCGCAUCAUUGUCCCUGUUGUGCGCAAAAUCACGGGCCGGGCUCGUGGGUUCACCCAACUGACCCGUAUGGGCAUCGGCCUCGUGAUCUCAAUCUUUUCUAUGUUGGCGGCUGGAGUUCUAGAGGUAAUCAGACUGCGAACAGUGGCGAGGGACAAUCUCUACGGUGCUAAAGAUAUUAUACCCUUGUCGAUUUUCUGGCAAAUUCCGCAGUAUUUCAUUGUGGGUGCCGCGGAGAUCUUUACCUUUAUUGGGCAGCUGGAAUUCUUCUAUGAUCAAGCACCCGACGCCAUGAGGAGCAUGUGUUCAGCCCUUUCUCUCACUACGGUCGCACUCGGUAACUAUUUAAGUACUCUGCUAGUUACAAUCGUCAAAGAUAUUACUACUAAGGACGGGAAGCUCGGGUGGAUCCCGGAUAAUCUUAACCGCGGCCACCUCGAUUACUUCUUCUGGCUGCUGGCGAUACUCAGCGUGGUGAAUUUCUUGGUGUACCUUCUGAUUGCUCACUGGUACCAAUAUAAGAAGACGGCAGAUUCUGUUGAUGGUUAAUUGCGGCUACUUAGUACUAAUGUGGUACAUGUAUGUGGAGACAAAAAGGGCUUAGGCAAGUAUAUACGGAGAGGUUAGAUCGCUCAUGGGAUUUCCUAUUUCGGGCUUAUAUCUAGCUUGGGCCCUUUUCUUGUGUUGCUGUAAAUGUAAGUAGCUUUUGUCUAUUAUGCUGUUGUGUAAAAAAAACCUUAUGCCUGGUUGGGGAUCUCUUAAACUGUCAAAAUAAUGCUCAUAAUAUAUAUAUAUAUAUAUAUAUAUAUAUAUAAUAUAAAUAACUAUAUAAAUUUGUAAGCAAGAGUUCUUGUUAGAAAGAAAAGAAUUAAUAUAAUCUUCUAAGCUGUUUCUGUUAUUAAUUGCUUGCUCGUGUCAUCUUCGUAGACUCCAUAUAGUAUUUGGAAAUAAGAUGAGAGUGCGGAUGUUUUAGCACGGUGCAUAGAACAUAAUCUGUGGAAUCCCAAAUUUGUAAUUGUGCAGUUGUAUCAGCUGAGAGAAACUAUGAGGUAAGAGCGUUGAUCUUGGCUGGAGAGGCAAUCAGCAAGAGACACCUCUUGAGCAACUUUUUUUUGCUCCUCUCCAGGGACUGGGUUAGAAAAAGAAACAAAGUUCGUGGUCCCAAAUCUGGUUGCAAUUUGAAGAUUCUACCACCCAAGUGCGUGCACGUUUGUCUAUCAUAUGUUAUUUAUAUAUUCAGUUUCUGGAUGGAUAGUAAUAUUAACAGUUCUCACAUAACUGACAACAGACGCAUCCGUUGGAUUGUUCGUCCUUGUGGAUGCUCUUCUGAAUAUCUGAAAAUAAACUCAGAGAUUAAUUCGUCGAGUUUUCUUGCUUCCUUUUUUCAUGUCGAAGUUUUGCCUUAAUUAGCAACGUUACAGCAAAAAUUUUCAUGCCUUUCGUCUACAAAACUCUGCUUUUAUUUCAUUUCCUCCUCGAAACUAAAUUCUUUCUUGGCCAAUUUGCAUAAAAAAUCCACUAGUUUUGCGCUUUUGCAAAAGUGGGCCACCUUUCUCGAUUUUACAGAUUCGGGCCGAAUUUUCAGCAAAUUGACCAAAAUAUCCUUGUACCUUUUUCUCUCUCCUUUUUUUUCCAAGAGAGCGGCGGAGGCAGACGUGGAGGCGGCCCGCUUCAGUUUUGUCCGGCGCAUCCUUACCCUCGCCUACGCAUCCCCGCCUUCCUCACCUCCGACCCUGCCGAGACUGCGCUGCCACUUUUUUUCUCCCCCUCUCCGACCCUUCUCCACCGCCUCCGACGACGACGCCUAUCUCACCCUUCUCGCCCUUUCCCUCUCCCUCAUCCUUCACCUCCUCCGCUGCCUUUGAUGACGACGCCUCUCCGCCGACAUCGGCGCCGCGAAGGUCGCUGCGGCGCCGUAGCCUCAGAGCGGGGGGUCUUUAGCGGUGUCGUCGCCGGCGCCGUGGCCAUUGGCAGAGAGGCGUAAAAAAAAAAAAAUUGUAAAAGAAGGAAGAAGAAAAAAAUUAUAUAAGAAGGAAGAAGAAGAUGAAAUUGCACUGUUAAAAUAAGAUUACACUGUUUUAAAACAAAUUUGCAUUGUUUUAAUGAAAAUUGCACUAUUUGAUAUAGAAAUUAUACUCUUUUGGAAUAGAUUUUACACACUUUAGGCUAACGUUGCACUAUUUAGAAAAAUUUUGUACCUUUUUUUUCUUUUUUUUUCUCUCUCUCUUCUUCUUCUUCUUCCGUUGCUGCCUCCAGCCCGCCUGGUCCGAGGUCUCCUCCAGCGCCGAGGUCGCGUACGACCACACCCCGCUUCGCACGUCCCGCCGUGAGAUCAGGACGCCUCCCCGUGCGGAGCCGAUCGCACUGCAGCCCUCCUGUAGGCCUCGCCCCGGAGGUCGCGAGCAACGAGGGUGGCCUCGCUAUCCACGGCGACGGCGACGAAGUACCCGCCGGCGGGCUCCGGGGCCGCCAACUGCCCCAGAAGUACCCGGCGACGAGGGCACCUCCCUGCUCCGGGGCCCUCCUCUCCCUCACCGCCAACUGCCCCCGCCUCUCCCUCCUCCACCUCCUCGACCACGAUGCCGAUGUCGACGCUGACGACGCCCGGAUCACCCUGCCAGCCUCGAGGCCCUCUCCGCCAACAACCACGGGAGAGAGAAAGGGCGGGCCAGGGGGGCGAGAGGUAGCAACGGAAGAAGAAGAAGAGAAAGAGAAAAAGAAAUGGAAAAGAAAUGGUGCAAAAUUCUCCUAAAUAGUGCAACGUUAGUGUAACACACUGAACUUUAGCAAAUUACAAGAUUCGAGUGUCUGAGCUGUGUCUGAGCUUUUCCAGGGUUUCUGGAGGGUCGUCGACUAUGUUUCGACCUAUGACGCGCAUCCCGAGGAGCGAGGGUGAAAACUUAGCACCUAAAUCUCCAAAAUGAGGAAUUUGGGCUGCUCUCUGGUAGACUCUGCAAGGCAGAGUACCGGUACCGCAUCGAUUUGGUACCGGUAUUGGACCUAGUGCCAGUACUGCAUAACGAUGGUACCGGUACCCAGUGCGUUUUCUCGCCAACCCGAGGCUUGGGUUUGCGCGUGCUGCUGCCUGGUGCCGGUACAAAAUCCCGUGUCACCGGUAGACAGUGCAGAUUGUAGUCUGCAUAUUUUUGAGGGGUGAUUUUGGAAUUGUAGCAACCCUAUAAAACACCUCACGCCCUUUGCUGGGUUUCCUGAGCUUGGAAACAUAGGAGAACAAGUAGGGAGCUCCUCCUCUUCUCCUCUUUGGUCUUCUUUCCAUUUUUGUUGGGAUUUUUGAGGAUUAAUCACCUCUUUUUGCUUCUCUUUGUUUGUUGGUGGCAUUUCCACCAUGAGAGAAGCUUUGGAGUUUGGAUUGGAGCUUGUUGGAGGAGAGAUCUUCAACCCUAGCCAUUUCAAUUUUAGUCUGGAGCUUCUAAAGAGGUUAGUAACAUGUUUCUUUCAUUUGGAUCAUGUUUUUGGAGGAUUUUGUGUAGAAACCCUAAAAAUGAGAAAUUUAGGGUUUAUUUGAAAAUUUUUGAUUUGUAGCUUUUGUAGCUCAAUUGAUUAGUUUAGAACUUUCUUUUAGGUUGGUUUUGGAGUGCUCUAGCAUCCAUUUGGGAUUUGAGGGGGAUUUUCCAACAUUUAGGUAAGUUUUGCCCUUUUUUUGGGUUGGUUAAAGACGAACACUUUGAGUGUUCAUUCGUUUCGUCUAACCCUCUUAGAAUUUUCUUUAGAGAGUUAGAAGACUUGUGGGCACCUUCGUUCGCGCAAACGAAAGAGUUACAAAGAGUUCUUGGUGGGUUUGACCUCACCGAAAUGGGUGAACUCCCCUAUGUUAUAUUCUUCAUUGUAAAAUAGAAAAUCAUACGUAUUCAUGCUAGAUAGAGCAUAUGUGAAUUUUAGAAUGCUUAAAAGGCAUAUAUUAUGUAUCAUGAGAUUUUAUCUCUACGUAGUAGAGAGAUAGUGUCACGCCCCGAGCCCCAUGCUUAUUUGGUCGGGUUUGGACCGACGACAGCGCCAAACGGACAGGGUUUUUCGUGUACCGCAGACAGAGUCUCCCCUAUACCGUUCAAAGCUCAACAAACAGUACAAUACAAAAGGUUCCAAACAGGAACAGUAUUCGUACAAUGAUUGCAUAAGGAAUGUAUCAAACAACAUAACAGAUAGGUACAUAGUAACCAUGUAAGUGAAUAGCAUUCUUAUAUGUGGCUUGGAAUCAUGUUUCAUAUAGUGAAAAUGACAAGUAUAACAUGCUCUUGGACAUAGAACUCAUAUUUGACAUAGGAGAAAAUAUAAUGUCAUAAAGUGGCAUUGGACUUGGAAUAUGUAUUGACAUAGUAAACAUAAUGUCAUAAAGUGGCAUUAGACUUAGUAAACGGUGGAACCUUUUACAAUGUGACAUAGAGCUAGACCUUUGGGGUUGCUAGUGUUUAUACCGUGAUUGACACAUGAUGACCGUAUACUUGAGAUGAUGAUUACGCUUGCUUGCUAUUUAUGCUCAUUCGCACAUGCUUGUGAGGGUCGCUCCCCACAAGCCGGUACUCCGGAGUUGGCCUACGCGACAUAUGCUCGCCCAUGCGGGAUUGAGGGCCUACUGGGUCGCCGAGGGAUAGUCACAUUCCUACGGGGGAUGCUGCGCUCCCCGAGGCCAUUAGGCGGCACAAGGAGACUACACUCGUGUAGGUCCUAGAUUGAAAUCGGAAAAUGACAUUUGACAAUGAGUGACAAUUAUUACUUGCUAAUAGGUAUUGGUUGGACAUAUUAUUGCACUUGUUGGACAUAAUAGUAUACCGUCAAUCAUGCUUAAUGUAUAAUAGCAUACUUGUUGAAUACAUUCGGUGCAUAUUUUUAUACCUGUGACAUAUUUAGAACAUACUAGCAUACUUAUUGGAUAUACUUGUUCAUGAUAGAUUGGAUGAACUUCAUGUUGUCAUCAUGCUAAAUUUGAGGCAUAGUAGCGUAGCAAUUUAAUACUUGUUAAACAUACAUGCUGUGUAUUUUAGUUUCAUGUUUCUACUUAUGUCUCUAUAGCCUAGUGGUGUAUUUUGCUGAGGUCGGCGGCUUACCCACUGGGAACUAUUGUUUAAUAGUUCUCACACCCUCCGUUUGUUGUUUAUUUUUUUCAGAGCCUUCCACUCCGGGUGAGGCUAGGGACCGCGGCAAGGGUGUCGCUUCGAGCUAUUUAGCGAGCGGUCUUACUUUAGGUGGUUCAUUUUUUCCUUUUGUUUUAUGUUGGAGAGAAUGAGAGUUUUUGUACCUGUAACACACUGGACCUUUGCAAAUUGCGAGGUUCGAGUGUUUGGAUGUAUUUCGAGCUUUUUCACACUUGGUGGAGGGUUGUAGAAUGUUUUCCGACCCGAAAAGUUCGAAAUCUGGAACUUUGGACAAGUCCUGAGAGUUUUUACUCUCGGGGACCGGUCCCUGGAAGGAGAGACCGGUUCCCCCAGUGAGCAGUGUUGUGGCAGCCCUGAGGCAACCGGUCCCUGGCAGGCGAGACCGGUUCCCGAACGCGUCCUCGCAGUGAGAGACCGGUCCCGCGCAGGGAGAGACCGGUUCCCGAACGCUGGUUUUUCGGGUUCGCAGCGAGAGACCGGUCCCUGCUGGGGAGAGACCGGUCUCUCUGGACGAAAACUGCCCAGACCGGGCUGAUGCUAUAUUAGAUUUUUGAGGGGCCUGGUUGGAUUUUGUUACAAGAGAAGGCUUAUAUGGCCACUUCUCCUUCUCCUCUUCUCACUUCACCAAAUCUUUUGCUUCCUAGAGAGAGAAGAAGAAGAAGAAGGAGGAGAAGAAUGAGAGGAGCUAGCUUGAGGGAGCUUGGAGCUCAACCCCAUUCUCUCUUUUCCACCCUUGCAAGGCUUGGAGCUUGCUUGUAGAGCUUGGUGGUGGGCCAAUCUUCAACCCUAGAAGAUUUGGAGCUUGUUUGGAGGCAUCUUGGGAGGUUAGUGCUUGGAUUCUACCCUUUGAUCCUUGAUUUGGUAGGUUUUCACCAUUUGGAACCUUAGAAUGGGUAUUAGGGUUGAUUUUUGGGGCUUUUUGAUCUAGGGCUUUUGGGGCUAGAUUGAUUGGUUUAGAACCUUCCUAGGGCUUGGAUUGGAAGGGUUCUAGCUCUCAUUUGGAGCUUAGGAGAAGAUUUCUUCUCUUGAGGUGAGUUUUGCCCCUUUUUGCUCCUAGGUUAAUGUUUGAUGUUAUAGGAUGGUCGUAAUGCCCUCGUAUCUCUUCGCUGAUUACUUUUAGGGCAUUUUGAUACUCGGGGACAACUUGGUUCGGCGAGACGAGACCCUACGCGACGGUUCGGUGGGUUUGACCUAGCCACACAAUGAGAAAUUCUCGUUUGUGCUUAAUUAAGUGUUGUUAAAUGAAAAAGCAUGCAUAUUCUUGUUAUAUGUAUUUAUUGUGAAUUUUAGAAUGCUUAAAAGGCCUAUGUUAUAUAUGAUGAAAUUUUGGACCUCUAUGUAGUAGAGAGUAGCUUAUUAGGCCAUAGUUGCAUUUAGCAUUUUAUAUGAGACGUGGUAUCAUGCUUCUAUAGUAAAUGGGUUCGGAUUCAUGCAUUUAAACCUAAGUUUACUUGUGACAUGAAAAUUGACAAGAUUGUCAUUUAGAAGCUAUGUGAAUUAGGGAGCUAAUGUCAUCAAGCGGCAUUGAGCUUGGGACACGUGUGAACCUAAUGGAUAGGGCCAUUGAGGGAUUUGGAAAACAUGUUGAACAUUAAAUUGCCUAAGUGUCAUUAAGGGGCACUAGGCGUAGCAAAUGUUGAAACUUCACAUUGUGACUUGAACUAGAUCUUCGGGAUGCUAGUGACUAUACCAUGUUAGAGACAUGAGGAUUGGAUACUUGAAACUUGGACUUUGCUUGCUUGCCAUUUGUGCUCAUUCGCACAUGCUUGUGAGGGUCGCUCCCUACAAGCCGGCACUCCGGAGUUAGCCUAUGCGACUUAUGUUCGCUCGUGCGGUAUUGAGAAGCCUACGGGGUCGAGUGGGACAGACACAUUCCAAGAGUAGGAAUGUCGGGCUACCACAGGCACUUAGGCGGCACAAGCUGGACUACCUUUGGUAGGUCCUUGAUUUGGAAAUGGAAAAUCGAUACGGGGUCGAGAAUGAACAAUCACUACUAGAUAGACUUAGUAGUUGGGUUACAUUUACAUGCAUAUAGCAUAGGGUUGAGACAUGUAGUAUACUUGAUAGUCUCCUUUUUGCAUUAAAGCAUGCUUGGAUGCCAUGACAGAACUUGCGUACUGUAUUCAUAAAGAUUAAUAUCAUACUAUUUUGAUAUCGUAGAUGUACAUCACCAUGACAUCGUUAUACUUGAGUUUAGUAAGUUAGCAUUUUUAAUUAUGCCCUUAUAUUGCUAUUAUUAUUGUACUUACCCUUUUCUUUUGGGGCCUAGUGGUGCGAUGAGCUGAGGUCAGUAAUUGCCCACUGGGAACUAUAAAUUAUAGUUCUCACGCCCUCUUUUUCUCGAUGUUUUUCAGAGCCUUCCACUCAGGUUGAGGCCAGGGACCGCGGGAAGGGUGUUGCUUCAAGCUAGCUUCCUUCGAGGACGAUUCGCUAGGUGGUCUACCUCUCAUUGUGUUUUAUUUUGGAGAGGUUGAGAGUUCUACCAGUGUACUAGUGACCACCAUUUUUAUAUUAGAGGCUGAUACUGUAUAACUUAUGUUUACUUUUAUGUAUUAGUUUUGUUCUAUUACUAUUAGUAUAGAUGUUAGAAUUUUACUCGCUCUGAUAUCAUUAGUUGCUUGUUACUUCGCUUCUUUUACUUGUUCCAUCUCUUCCUUUUACUUCCGCUUUUCUUGUAGACGCCUUAUAUGUGUAGACAUAUGGCGGGUCUGGGCACGCUACCGGGAGGGCCUCCGCCGGUCCCGGGGCGUGACAGUACCUUAUGUAGAGGCCACCAAUUUUGUACACUUAGCAUUUUAUAUUUAACAUCUUGAUGUAUCUACUUUAUGCCCUAUUGUUGGUGGAUUAGUUCUUUUAUAUCUUCAUUUGUCAUUAGAAUUUAGAUGUCAUUAUGCUCUGAUAUCUCUAGAUGUUCGUACCUUAUUACUUAUUUAUCGCUUUGUUGUAGACGCCUUAUAUGUUGCAGGCAUAUGGCGGGUCUACACACGCACCGGGCGGGCUUCCGUUGGGUCCCGGGGCGUGACAGAUUAUUUUGGUAUCAGAGCUUAGGGUUAAGUCUUAGUGGACCUAGCACACCUUAGGCCGGUUGGACUGUAGGAAAUAGGCUCGUGAGAGACGGGGUCUAUUUGACUUGUAAGCGAAAGUAUUACGAUUGGAUUUUAUGAUAACUCUAAAAGUGUUGGAGUUUAAUCGAAGUGUAUAGCUUCUAACUUCGCAGAGGGUUACGUUGGCGGCCGACAACGUAACAUCGGGAGUUAGUAGUAAAGGGCACUUCCUUACUUUCGCAUAAUUUUGGGUAAUAUUUUAUUGAGUGGGGUGCGAUAGCGUGAGUUUUACUAACUUGAGCUUUUAUGUUGUUGUAGUGAUAUGCCGACGACUCGCUCUAAAUCUGUUGAGGCGGAGAAUGUGGCAAACCUUGAGAAGGUGGAGACCUCCACUACCUCCGGAUCUAGUGAGGUCCGAGACUUGAGGACCCAGCUUGCGGUCCUCACUGAUUUAUUUAGUGGCUGAGUAGGAGGCGGCGGCUCAACGGCAGCCCGAUGUGGCGCACCGACAGGAGAUGUGGAUGAAGCGACUGGAGGACUUGCUGCUUUAGAAGGCAGCUGCUAGGGAGGCUCAGGUUCACGCGCCACCGGCACCGACAAAGGUUGUUGCACCGAGGGCACCCUCCCCGCGCCCGGUGUUCCGCAAGUGAUGCUUUCUUUAAUGGAUUGGGCUGUGUCUUGAUGCAGGAUGGAAAGGUGAUCGCAUACGCUUCUCGCCAAUUGAAGGAUUACGAGAGAAACUAUCCUACGCAUGAUUUAGAGUUGGCGGCCGUAAGUUUUGCUUUAAAGCUGUGGUGUCAUUACCUUUAUGGCGAGCGGUGUGAAGUGUACACGGAUCACAAGAGCAUGAAAUAUUUAUUUACUCAGAAGGAGUUGAACUUGAGGCAGCGCAGAUGGUUAGAGCUACUCAAAGACUAUGAUCUGACGAUUCUCUACCACCCGGGCAAGGCUAACGUGGUGACAGAUGCGCUAAGUCAGAAAUCAAGGACUACUCACGAGAAGCAAAAUCGGAACAACAUUAGACUACUCAGUUGCGCCCUAACAGUAUAACUUUACAACGAGUACUUUUCCUCAUUCUAUCGAACAAAGAGUAAAACCUAUUUAUAUUGUUCUAUUAUGCCCUGAGAGUGUAAAUAUGAAACGAAUUGAUGUCAACCUUCACAAGAACCAAAACUGGAACAACAUUAGACUCAUCAGUUGCGCCCUAACAGUAUAAAUUUGCAACGAGUACUUUUUCUCAUUCUAUCGAACAAAGAGUAAAACCUAAUUAUAUUGUUCUAUUAUGCCCCAAGAGAGUAAAUUUGGAACGAAUCGAUGUCAACGUUCACAAGAACCAAAACCGGAACAACAUCAGUUGCGCCCCAACAAUAUAACUUUGCAACCAGUACUUUUUCUUAUUCGAUCGAACAAAGUGUAAAAGCUAAUUAUAUGUUCUAUUAUGCCCCGAGAGUGUAAAUUUGGAACGAAUCGAUGUCAAUGUUCAUAAAAACCAAAACCGGAACAACAUUAGACUACUCAGUUGCGCCCUGACAGUAUAACUUUGCAACGAGUACUUUUUCUCAUUCGAUCGAACAAAGUGUAAAAGCNAGGUAGCCCUGUACCUAGUCGAGAUGUGAGUCAGGUGAGGAGCGGGGUAGCUCUUUUCCUAGGACCUUUGAGAUUGGGAUCUUAAGCAAGUUGGCCUAGUCGAUUGGGUUGUAACAUGAAUAGCAUAAGUGAAUUGCAUUCUUACCAUGUUUAGAUAUAGUACACUGCAUAGCUAUGUUGUAGUUGUAUUUACUUCAUUGUUAAAGCAUACUAGCAUGACAAAUGAUGUGACAUGCAUUCCUUGCAUUUGAUGGCAUAGUAGAUAUAGUAGCAGUUUAUUUCCAUAUAUCUCUUUCUAUCUAUCUAUCUGUGCCAGCUUGGACCUAGUGGGAAGAUCGGCGGAGUCGACGGCCGAACCCACUGGGAACUAUAUUUAUAUAGUUCUCACCCCGUGUGGUUUUGGGGUACAGGUACACACGAGAGCGGAUCGGCAGAGGAUCGCGAUAUGGGCUUAGCGCCCUAGUGCUAGUUGGUAGUUUACUUUCCUACUGCAUUAGAGUUACCCUAUAUGUUGAGAGUAGAUGAUGUAUAGGAUGUGAGGUAUAUUUUGAGGAAAAUGUAAACUUUAAGUUUAUGGUUUGGGUGAAUGUAUAGCUAAGUUGUAAUUAAAUGUAUCAAGUUGAAUGGUUGUAAUAGAAUAGUUAAGUAUCUCUCUCUUUUGUUUCACUUGUAUGUUUAUUACUCGUGACGCUUGCUCAUGUAAUGUUCAGCACUGUUUGUGCUCUCGCUGUUGUUGCAUGAUCAUGUAUGUAUUCAAGUUGAUUUCCUGGGAACUUGUUGUACAUGAUCUCAUCAUUUGAGUCUUAGGCGGACAGGGGAGACUCUGUCCGUUCGGCGUCCGUUCGCCGCGCCCGAACCGUGCCAAAUUGGUAGCGGUCUCGGGGCGGGGGCGUGACAAUUAGGCUACUCAGUUGCGCCCUAACAGUAUAAAUUGGCAACGAGGGCUUUUUCUCAUUCUAUCGAACGAAGAGUAAAUGCUAAUUAUAUUGC
rnacentral:lncRNA from 1 species